GAUGACCCUAUUUUAGUAGUGUUUUUAGGGUCAUUUCUUUGUGUGUUUUGAGUCUUUUUGUUGAGUCUCAUGUAGUGUUUCAUGCAUUCUCAUGCAUUUUUAUAUUUUCUUUAGUCUUUAUUUGGCUUUGGUAAUUUAGUAGUUUUAUAGGGAGUUUUCUUGCAUUUUGAGUAAAGUUUAGGACUUGCAUGGUUUUAUUGUGUUAAUUGAAGGAUCUCAUGUGCUAAUAAGCUCUUUGAGCUUCUAGAAUUUUCCUUGGCUUGUUGGUUAAGUUUCAGAUCAGGAACUGAAGAAGGAAGAAGGCCAAUAAGCAUGGAAUUGAUGGAAAACUUAAAAAGGAUUGAAAAGAGGAGUUUCAGAAGCCAAAAAGCCCUUUUCAAGCGAGCUCAAGCGCCUAGGCGCUGGGGGAUGGGCGCCUAGGCGCCAAUUGGUCCAGAGAGCAUGUUUUUUAAGUGCAAUUGGCGCUCAGGAGCUCUGAAUUGGCGCCUGAGCGCCCAGACUCGACCUGUUAGCCUUUAAAUAGGCUUUUUGCCAUUUCUUUUGUAACUUUUGUCAUUUCUAUACAUUCCUAAAUAAGUUACAAGUAGGGUUAGGCUCUGGAGCUUGAGGAGAAGCAUUCUCCAAGUCCAUGUUCCAGGUUUUAUCCUUCUUUUCUUGUAUGGAUUCUAUAGCCAUGCUUGGCUAAAACCCCCUUUUGCUUUGGGUUCUUUGUAAGACUUUGAAUGUUUUAGCUAUCAAUCCUUUUCUAUUCAUGAUGUUCUGAGUAAACCCUUGAAUCUCACUUCUAUGCUUUAUCUUUCAAGCUUGUAUGCAUGCUAGCUUCUUACUUUUCUAUAAUCAUAACGAUAGUUUGUUAUAGGAUUGGGACUUGUUGUGAGAUUACCUCUUCUAUACUUGCUGCUAGGAAUAGAGGAAGGGUUGGGGUUUGUUGGCCUGAAUUGCAUGCUUAGUGCUUCUAACAAAUGUUUAGGUUGUCAAGGAAUUGAACCUAUCUUUUGAUUAGAAAGGGUUUUCUUUACGAGGCAUCGAUAGAUAACUAUCUAGGCUAGAACAUCAAGGAGAGACUCAGGAUUAAUUGAAUAGGGAGGUUUGCUAAAACUGAAUUAGUCGAACAAGAACCCAAGGCAAUCUCAUCUCUGUUUUUCAAUCGCUUUAUUACUUGAUUACUUGUCUUUUUGCAAACUCAAGAAACAACCAAUUAUUAAAACUGAAUUUUACUUGCUUUUCAACCUUGAACUUGAAUCUUAAACUGAAUUGCCACACCAAUUCCCUGUGGUUCGAUAAUUUAAAACUCGGAGGUAUUCGUACACUUGCGAAUUGACCAACAAGUUUUUGGCGCCGUUGCCGGGGAAUUGUUUGUGGUUUUUGAUUUAAGUUUUUAGUUUGUGGUUUUAUUUUUUGUUUUUAUCUUUGUCUAGAAUUGGUGCUACUAAUCUUUCUUUGUUUUAGUGUCACACUUUCAGGUUGCUCUCGAGAGAGACACUGUCAUGGGUGGCCAAAUGACGGAGGAGGAGAUGCAAGCCCAUAUCGAGGCAAGAAUCCAAGAGGGGAUCACCCUCCGAUUAUGUGAACAAGAAGUUGAGAAUGCCAACCGGUCUCUUCGGGAACUCACUUCGGCUACCAUGAGUUAUGACUAUCCCGGGUGUAAGAUCAAGUUUUGAUCUAGUAGUACAACUCUAUGUUUUGAUGAUUACAAGUUAACCUUUUGAUAUGAACAAUUGUGGUACUCUAACGUGUUUUUCUGAGUGUGCUAUUUACAGGCUCUGACCCUGACUCUAUUUCACACAAAUCAGAAGCACUGUGUAUAAAGGGUAACCCAAGCAACGCUUUCGCAUUCACCAUGUUCAGUAUGAACAGUGGAAAAGCUUCAGAAGAUCUGAAGCUAUACAAACUCUGAUGAGGACUCAGUCGCUAGAAGCUCUGAUGAUCCAGAAGUUCUGACAACCAAGAAACACUGAAGGUUCAGAUGUUCUGAUGGUGUAGAAGACUCUGAAGAUCCAGAAGCUGAAUAGUAGAAACUCUGAAGUCCAGAAGCAAGAAACUCUGAAGGCCAUGUUCUUCCCUCUGAGUUCAGAAUCAGAAGAUACAAUGGUCAGAGGAUCUGUGCUAUCCCUCUGACUCUGAUCAACCGGCUUCACAAGUUCCAAUACGAAGCAUUCCUCUGAUCAGAAGUCUCCUAGGUUAAAAGGUCAAGUCGCUAUCCAAGUACAAAAGCAAGUGUACCUUCCUGACGACCUACCUAACGUUCUCAGCCACAGCAGAAGCUGGAUUUUCCAGAACUGCCCUCCAACGGUAGCAUUUCCCAUGCAACGCUCAACCCUAAUCCUUGGAGUAUAUAUAGAGGCUGAAGAUUGAAAGAAGCGGCCAGAAGCAAUACACACGCGCAAGAUAUUCAAAAUAUUCUAAGCUUUCUUUCAUCUUGUAAUUUAUUUAGUUUACACUCAGCUUAUUUAGAAGCAAACCCUUGUAAACACCAACCUCAAACAGUUGUUUGAUUUUCCUUAAGGGACCGGGUAGGUCAGUAUCCUUAAGAAGACUAAGAGAGUGAAUCUUAGUGGUAGUUCCUUUAGGAGAUCAAGGUUGAUCGGAUCCUAGAGAAGACUAAGAGAGUGAAUCUUAGUGAUAGCUAAGUCAGUGUAUUGUUAGUCACUUGUAGGUUUCAAGUGCAGUUGUAACAAUUAUCUGAUUAGUGGAUUGCCUUCAUUCUAAGAAGGAAGAAAUCACCUUAACGGGUGGACUGGAGUAGCUUGAGUGAUUUAUCAAGUGAACCAGGAUAAAAUCCUUGUGUGCUUUUCUAUCUCUAUCUUUAGCACUUAGUUCUCGAAAAGAUUUGUUAAAAUCUUUAAGGUGGUAGUUUUGUACUGAAAACGUUAUUCAAACCCCCCCUUUCUACCGUUUUUCAUACCUUCAAUUGGUAUCAGAGCGCAAGUUCUGAUUACCACACCUAACAGUGUUCAGUGAUCCGGGCCGGUGUGAAAAACAAUGGCUGCCACCACCAGUGAAACUCAAAGAGAUGGCUACAACGCAAAGCCUCCUAUGUUCGAUGGUCAAAGAUUCGAAUAUUGGAAAGAUAGACUGGAAAGUUUCUUUCUGGGUUUCGAUGCAGAUCUCUGGGAUAUUAUUGUGGAUGGCUAUGAGCGUCCAGUUGAUGCAGAUGGCAAAAAGAUCCCAAGGUCAGAGAUGUCUGCAGAUCAAAAGAAGCUGUACUCACAACAUCAUAAAGCAAGAGCAAUUCUUCUAAGUGCUAUCUCCUAUGAGGAGUACCAGAAGAUUACAGAUCGUGAGUUUGCUAAAGGCAUUUUUGAUUCUCUGAAGAUGUCUCAUGAAGGAAACAAGAAAGUCAAAGAAUCAAAGGCAUUGUCUUUGAUCCAAAAGUAUGAAUCCUUCAUCAUGGAGCCAAAUGAGUCCAUUGAAGAAAUGUUCUCCAGAUUUCAACUGCUUGUAGCUGGCAUACGUCCUCUCAACAAGAGCUACACAACAAAAGAUCACGUCAUAAGGGUCAUCAGGUGUCUUCCUGAAAGUUGGAUGCCUUUGGUGACUUCAAUAGAGCUCACGAGAGAUGUUGAGAAUAUGAGUUUAGAAGAACUCAUCAGCAUUUUGAAAUGCCAUGAGCUGAAGCGCUCAGAGAUGCAAGAUCUGAGGAAAAAGUCCAUAGCCUUGAAAUCCAAAUCUGAAAAGGCUAAGGUUGAGAAGUCAAAGGCUCUUCAAGCUGAAGAAGAAGAAUCAGAAGAAGCAUCAGAAGAUUCUGAUGAAGAUGAGCUGACUCUGAUCUCCAAGAGACUCAACCGCAUCUGGAAGCACAGGCAGAGCAAGUUCAAAGGCUCUGGAAAGGCAAGAGGAAAGUCUGAAUCCUCAGGUCAGAAGAAGUCAUCAAUCAAGGAAGUCACUUGCUUUGAGUGCAAAGAAUCAGGGCACUACAAAAGUGACUGUCCAAAAUUGAAGAAGGACAAGAAGCCAAAGAAGCACUUCAAGACCAAAAGUCUGAUGGUGACAUUCGAUGAAUCAGAGUCAGAGGAUGUUGACUCUGAUGGUGAAGUCCAAGGACUCAUGGCUAUUGUCAAAGACAAAGGAACAGAGUCAAAGGAAGCUGUUGACUCUGACUCAGAAUCAGAAGGAGAUCCAGACUCUGACGAUGAAAAUGAGGUAUUUGCUUCCUUCUCUACCUCUGAACUGAAACAUGCUUUGUCUGAUAUCAUGGAUAAGUAUAACUCCUUGUUGUCUAAGCAUAAGAAGCUGAAAAAGAACUUAUCUGCUGUUUCUAAAACUCCUUCUGAACAUGAGAAAAUCAUAUCUGUUUUGAAAAAUGAUAACCAUGCUUUAGUUAAUUCUAACUCUGUGCUUAAGAAUCAAAUUGCAAAGUUAGAAGAAGUUAUUGCCUGCGAUGCCUCUGAUAGUAAGCAUGAAUCUAAGUAUGAAAAAUCUUUUCAAAGAUUCCUGGCUAAAAGCGUAGAUAGAAGUUUAAUGGCUUCAAUGAUCUAUGGUGUAAGCAGAAAUGGAAUGCAUGGCAUUGGCUAUUCUAAACCAAUUAGAAAUGAGCCUUUUGUGUCUAAAGCUAAAUCCUUGUAUGAAUGCUUUGUUCCCUCUGGUACCAUAUUGCCUGAUCCUGUACCUGCUGAAGUUGCUAAAAACCCUCUUAAAAAGGGAUCUUUCUCUAUGACUAAAUAUCAUGCAAAUAUUCCUUUAAAAUAUCAUGUUGAGACACCCAAGGUGAUCAGAACCUUUGGGGUAACUAACAAAAGAGGACCCAGAAAGUGGGUACCUAAGGACAAGAUUAUCUAUGUUGCAGAUAUCCUUGAUAGCUCCACUGAAACACCAAUCAUGGUAUCUGGACAGUGGAUGCUCGCGUCACAUGACGGGAGAAAAGCGUAUGUUCCGAGAGCUGAAACUUAAGCCUGGAGGCGAAGUUGGCUUUGGAGGAAAUGAAAAGGGUAAAAUUAUUGGUACUGGUACUAUUUGUGUAGAUAGUAGUCCAUGCAUUGAUAAUGUUUUAUUGGUAGACGGCUUAACACAUAACUUAUUGUCUAUAAGUCAAUUAGCUGACAAGGGUUAUGAUGUUAUAUUCAAUCAAAAGUCCUGCCGGGCUGUAAGUCAGAUCGAUGGCUCUGUUCUGUUUAACAGCAAGAGGAAGAACAACAUUUACAAGAUCAGAUUAUCUGAGUUGGAGGCUCAGAAUGUGAAGUGCCUUCUGUCUAUUAAUGAAGAGCAGUGGGUAUGGCAUAGACGGUUAGGGCAUGCCAGUAUGAGAAAAAUUUCUCAGCUGAGCAAGCUAAACCUUGUCAGGGGCUUACCCAAUCUGAAGUUCGCUUCAGACGCUCUUUGUGAAGCAUGUCAGAAAGGCAAAUUCACAAAAGUCCCUUUCAAGGCAAAGAAUGUUGUCUCAACCUCAAGGCCGUUGGAACUUCUGCAUAUCGACCUGUUUGGACCAGUGAAAACUGAGUCUAUAGGUGGCAAGAGAUAUGGGAUGGUUAUCGUUGAUGACUAUAGCCGCUGGACAUGGGUAAAGUUUCUAACCCGCAAGGAUGAGUCUCAUGCUGUGUUCUCUACCUUCAUUGCUCAAGUGCAAAACGAGAAGGCUUGUAGAAUUGUGCGUGUCAGAAGUGACCAUGGUGGAGAGUUUGAGAAUGACAAGUUUGAGAGUCUGUUUGAUUCCUAUGGAAUUGCACAUGAUUUCUCUUGUCCCAGAACUCCUCAACAAAAUGGUGUUGUUGAGAGGAAGAACAGAACUCUUCAGGAGAUGGCUAGAACCAUGCUCCAAGAAACUGGCAUGGCUAAGCACUUUUGGGCAGAGGCAGUAAAUACAGCAUGUUACAUUCAGAACAGAAUCUCUGUGAGACCAAUUCUGAAUAAGACUCCUUAUGAAUUGUGGAAGAACAUAAAACCCAACAUUUCUUAUUUUCAUCCUUUUGGCUGUGUUUGUUAUGUUCUCAAUACUAAGGAUAGAUUGCAUAAAUUUGAUGCUAAAUCUUCUAAGUGUCUAUUACUUGGUUAUUCUGAUAGAUCUAAAGGUUUUAGAUUUUAUAAUACUGAUGCUAAGACUAUUGAAGAAUCUAUUCAUGUUAGAUUUGAUGAUAAGCUUGACUCUGACCAGUCAAAGCUAGUUGAAAAGUUUGCAGAUUUAAGCAUUAAUGUUUCUGACAAAGGCAAAGCUCCAGAGGAAGUUGAGCCAGAGGAAGAUGAACCAGAGGAAGAAGCUGGUCCCUCUAACUCACAAACUCUGAAGAAGAGCAGAAUCAUUGCAGCUCAUCCUAAGGAAUUGAUUCUGGGCAACAAAGAUGAACCAGUCAGAACCAGAUCUGCCUUCAGACCCUCUGAAGAGACCUUGCUGAGUCUGAAAGGAUUGGUGUCCUUAAUUGAACCCAAGUCCAUAGAUGAAGCUCUUCAGGACAAGGAUUGGAUUCUGGCCAUGGAAGAAGAAUUGAAUCAAUUCUCCAAGAACGAUGUUUGGAGCUUAGUGAAGAAGCCUGAGAAUGUCCAUGUUAUUGGAACGAAAUGGGUAUUCAGAAACAAGCUAAAUGAGAAAGGAGAUGUAGUCAGAAACAAGGCAAGGCUAGUUGCUCAAGGCUACAGCCAGCAGGAAGGAAUAGACUACACUGAAACAUUUGCUCCAGUAGCAAGACUGGAGGCAAUCAGACUAUUGAUUUCUUUCUCAGUAAAUCACAACAUAGUUCUACAUCAGAUGGACGUAAAGAGUGCCUUCCUAAAUGGUUAUAUCUCAGAGGAAGUCUAUGUUCAUCAACCCCCAGGUUUUGAAGAUGAAAAGAAACCAGACCAUGUGUUCAAAUUGAAGAAAUCACUCUACGGUCUGAAGCAAGCUCCCAGAGCAUGGUAUGAGAGACUUAGCUCAUUCCUUCUGGAGAAUGAGUUUGUAAGGGGUAAAGUAGAUACAACUCUCUUUUGCAAGACUUAUAAAGAUGAUAUCUUAAUUGUGCAAAUUUAUGUUGAUGAUAUUAUAUUUGGUUCUGCUAAUCAAUCUCUAUGCAAAGAAUUUUCUGAGAUGAUGCAGGCUGAAUUUGAGAUGAGUAUGAUGGGAGAAUUAAAGUACUUUCUGGGAAUACAAGUUGAUCAAACACCAGAAGGAACAUAUAUCCAUCAGAGCAAGUACACUAAGGAACUUCUGAAGAAGUUCAAUAUGCUGGAAUCUACAGUGGCCAAGACUCCAAUGCAUCCAACAUGCAUUCUGGAAAAAGAAGAUAUAAGUGGUAAAGUAUGUCAGAAGCUCUAUCGUGGCAUGAUAGGUUCACUUCUGUACUUAACUGCAUCUAGGCCAGACAUAUUAUUUAGUGUUCAUUUAUGUGCUCGUUUCCAAUCAGAUCCAAGGGAAACCCACUUAACUGCUGUUAAGAGGAUCCUAAGGUAUCUGAAAGGCACCACUAACCUUGGCUUGAUGUAUAAGAAAACAUCAGAGUAUAAGCUUUCAGGUUAUUGUGAUGCUGAUUAUGCUGGAGAUAGAACAGAGAGAAAAAGUACUUCUGGAAAUUGUCAAUUUCUGGGAAGCAAUCUAGUCUCAUGGGCAAGCAAGAGGCAAUCAACCAUUGCUCUAUCAACUGCAGAGGCAGAAUAUAUCUCAGCAGCAAUAUGCAGCACUCAGAUGCUCUGGAUGAAACAUCAGCUGGAGGAUUAUCAGAUCCUUGAGAGCAAUAUCCCAAUCUAUUGUGAUAACACUGCUGCAAUUUCGUUGAGCAAGAAUCCUAUCUUGCAUUCAAGGGCAAAGCACAUUGAGGUAAAGUAUCACUUCAUUAGAGAUUAUGUGCAGAAGGGCGUACUUCUUCUGAAGUUUGUUGAUACUGACCAUCAAUGGGCAGAUAUCUUUACAAAGCCCUUAGCUGAAGAUAGAUUUAAUUUUAUUCUGAAAAAUCUAAACAUGGACUUUUGUCCAGAGUGAAGAUAGAUCAGAACCUCUGACUAUGAUACUUCUUGUUCAGAAGAUGUCUAGUCCAGAAGGUAACUCAAUCAGAGUGUGUGUGCCCACUGGUACUGACUCUGAAGCUGAGACAACAACACGUGCGUCAGAAUUUCUGAUGCAUAGUUCCUUGUGCCCGUGUGACAGUCUGUUAUGAUUGCGUGUAGAUAUGCUUAUCUCCUGUGUGUGAUUGUGUAUUUUACUGUUACUAUCUAUCUUUAAUUUUCAACCGUUGAUCUUAAAGUGCUUUUUGAAUCAACAACGGUUAUUUGAUAAACCCACUAUACACACACGUUCUCUCACACUUCCGGUUUUCACUCUCGCACUCUCUGCUUUUCAAAACCGCAUUUCUCUCGAAUUCUCUCUCGAUCUCUCUUCAUCCUUCAAACUUCAUCUUCUACCUCAAACCUUCAACCUCUUCAAGAUGGUGAGACAAACCAGCAGAGCUACUGCAGAUGCACCUCAGUUCCCUCACAUGGUAGUCGGUUUGGCAACGGGUCAACGGGGCUCUGAGAACCCAGCACAAGAACAAGCUCAAGCUCAAGAGGAGAUUGUUCCUAUUGCAGAACGGGGCUGUGCCGUUCACUGUGUAUUUCCUCCUGAGGAACUCCAAGUCCUGGCAGAAUGGAGAUUCAACCUCGACAACUUGGCUGCAAAUGGGUUUGAUCUCCGUCCUGAAGUCCAAGCUCAAGGUUGGGGAAACUACUUCAAUCGACUUCGAGGACCGGUGUAUGAGAAGCUAGUAAAGGAAUUCUGGAAGCACGCUGAUUGUGAUGACACUCAGGUAGUCUCCUACAUACUGGGUAGGAAGAUCAUCAUCACGGAGAAGUCCUUCGUGAAUCUGCUAGGUGCAGAAACUGCUCAUGGGUAUCGGUUCUCACUGACGGAAUCGAAGCUGAAACCCAGAACCAAGGACAUCGUCAACAAGGCCCUGUACACAACUUUUAAACCGGGCAAGACGAGUUAUAAGGUGAUGGAUCUUCACCCCAAACUGAGAAUCUGGCACAAGAUCCUGCUCAACUGCAUCAAUCAACGACCAAAGGGCAGUUCUCCAGACUACAUCAACUUCAAUCAGAAGGCGAUGCUGUUCUUCAUUCAAGACAAGGAGAAGAUCUGCCUUCCCUACUUCCUGUUUUCCUACUUGAAGGAAUGCAUCCGGAAGUCUCGCACCACCGCCUCCAUCAAGUCAGCCAUCAAAUAUAUCCCUUUUGGGAGGCUGCUCUCAGACUUUCUCAUUGAAAGCCACUUGGUGCAAGAUUUGAUCGAUGCUGGUUGCACAGAGGACUUGAGCACAAUUGUCAGUGACGUCUUCACUGCCAACUCUUUGAAGAAGAUGGGCUUAGUCCAGAAGAAGAUUGCUCCUGCUCAUGAGGACACAUCUUCUGAGAUCAGAGGAAGAAGAAUGCCUCUGAAUGACUACCCUCUGUGGACUCAAGCAGACCAUCCUGAAGCCAUCAGAUGCUAUGUUGAAGACCUCAGGGCUCAGGGAUUCGAGAUUGACCUUGAUGAUUUCGUCAGCAGACUUCCACCAGCUCCAGAGUUUCCUUCUCCUCCCAAGAAGAAAACCAAGAGGAAGAUGGUUCUGGACGAAUCCUCAGAGGAAUCUGAUGUCCCUCUGGUCAAGAAGGCGAAGAGCAAGCCUGAUGAUGAUGAUGGUGAUGAUAGUGAGGAUGGUCCUCCAAAGAAGAAGCAGAAGAAGGUCAGAAUCGUGGUGAAGCCUACUCGGGUGGAACCAGCUGCUGCAGAGGUCAGAAGGACUGUAGCUCCUGCCAGAGUGACUCGAUCAUCAGCACAUACAAGUAAGCCUGCACUUACCUCUGAUGAUGAUUUGAAUUUAUUUGAUGCACUCCCAAUUUCUGCCUUACUCCAACACUCUUCAAAUCCCCUCACUCCUAUUCCUGAAUCCCAGCCAGCCGCACAAACCACCUCUCCACCACAUUCCCCAAGAUCUUCAUUCUUUCAACCUUCUCCUACUGAAGCACCACUCUGGAAUUUGCUUCAGAACCAACCCUCUAGGUCAGAAGAUCCAACCUCUCUCCUUACCAUUCCAUACGACCCAUUACUUUCUGAACCCAACAUCCAAAACCAACCAGAACCCACACCAACAGAACCACAACCCAGAACGUCUGAUCACUCUGCUCCCAGAGCAUCAGAACGUCCUGCUGUCAGAACCACGGAUACAGACUCCUCAACAGCCUUUACACCUGUAUCCUUCCCGAUCAAUACUAUUGACUCUUCUCCCUCCAAUACUUCUGAAAACAUGAGAAAAUUCAUGGAGGUGAGAAAAGAAAGGGUAUCUGCCUUAGAAGAACAUUACCUUACCUGUCCAAGCCCUAGGAGAUAUCCUGGUCCUAGACCUGAACGUCUAGUGGAUCCUGAUGAACCUAUCUUGGCCAAUCCUAUCCAAGAGGCAGACCCCUUAGUUCAACAAGAGCCCAUUCAACCAGAACCUGAACCUGAACAUUCAGUGUCUAACCAAUCCUCGGUUAGAUCACCUCACCCUCUGGUUGAAACUUCAGACCCUCACCGUGGAACCUCUGAACCCAAUGCUCCCAUAAUUAACAUUGGUUCUCCACAAGGUGCCUCUGAAGCUCAUAGCAGCAAUCACCCAGCCUCUCCUGCACCCAACCUCUCCAUCAUUCCCUAUACUCACCUUCAACCCACAUCUCUCUCUGAGUGCAUCAAUAUUUUCAAUCAUGAAGCCUCCUUGAGGCUCCGCAAUGUGCACGGUCAGACUGACCUCAGUGAGAAUGCUGACAAUGUGGCUGAUGAGUGGAAUAAUUUGAGCACUUGGCUGGUGGCUCAGUUUCCCGUUAUGCUGCAGCUCCUGCAUGCAGAGGGCAGUCAGAGCAUUGAGGCUGCAAAGCAAAGGUUUGCUAGGAGGGUGGCUCUUCAUGAACUUGAACAGAGAACCAAGCUUCUUGAUGCCAUUGAAGAAGCCAAGAGACAGAAAGAACAAGAAGAAGAAGCUGCCCGUCAAGCAGCAGCUCAGGCUGAACAAGCCCGACUUGAGGCAGAACGUCUUGAAGCUGAGGCUGAGGCAGAGCGACUUGCACCAGUUCCGUUUACUCCUGCUGCUUCUGCUUCCAUUCCAGAACCUCAAGCUGCUCAGAAUGUUCCUUCCAGCUCUACUCAGACAAGCUCUUCCAGACUCGACAUCAUGGAACAACGUCUUGACACUCAUGAAUCCAUGCUGAUUGAGAUGAAGCAAAUGAUGAUGGAACUUCUGAGACGCACUGACAAACCCUAGUUUUUAGGAUUUCUUUCGUUUUUCUUUCUUAACUUAUUUUACUUUUAUUUAAGAUAUUUGCAUUAUUUGUUAUAUUUUGCUUACUCGUUGUUUCUCAUUGCAUAUAUAUACUACAUGUGUUUGCAAAUUUUUUUUUUAUUCAUAUAACUCACGUUCAUUACAUCAUACAUUAUUCCCUAUAUCUAGAAUGGCGGAUCCUUCCUCAUUCUUCUGCAUUCUUGGCGCUGCUCCACUCUUUCCUUCUCCAGACGAUCCAAUGCAUACUCUAUGUUGCUGAGUUUGAUGCUCAGAUCAUCUUUUUCUAGACUAUCUUCUGUCGUCUUAAGUCUCUUUUCCACAGUCUCCUUCUCUUCCAGCAGAUUCAGCUCCCGCUGGCAAAGCCUCUGAAUCUCUUCCACGAAGCAGAGGAACUCCUUCAGAUCUUUCUCCAUCUCUGGACCAAGAUCCUCUUCCAGCAGUGUAUUCGUAAGCUCUUGUAUGGUCUUUGUACCAUCGGGAUGCCUAAUAUUGAGGAAUAUAUCUUCCUCAAACGCCUUCCUUCUGAGCUCUUCUAAUACCUUUCUGUAUGAUGCCAUUUUUCUUACUGAAAAUUAUUCGAGAUGUGAAGCUUACCUUUCUCUCCAACGCUUUAUAUAGGUUUCACUUUCUCUCUGAAAGUUAAUGCUCUUACAGUUUCUCGAGGUUAAGUUCUUGGUAACUGACCCUUCUAUUUACUCACUUGACCGGUGGUAAACGUUCAUCCCUUGCAUUAACUCUUCUAUUUAUUGUCGCCUCACUCUGAUUCUUACAUCGUCCUCAUUUUCUUUCAACUUAGACCUUCUCUAAGGGGGAGUACCUUGUACUUCAAGCUAAGUUUUUUCACACCCCGAGCUUUUUGCUUAUGACAAAAAGGGGGAGUAAACCCAGUUUUUGAUGUGUAAGAUGUGUUAGUGUGACUUAUUUUUCUUUUGGAGAUUUUAAGAGUUCCACCUUCAUGACCAUAGAUGUGUCACUGGGCAAAUACAAGGAAUACAUUUCACUUCUUCUGAAGUGAUUCUAAGUUGACUCUGAUACCCAAGACUCUGAUACCUUGUCCAUGACUCUGAUCACUUAUGCGCUCUGAUUAUUCGUUUUUUAUCUAUGUCAUAAGCUUUUCACUCUGAACUCUUAUAUGUUUUAGCUCAGAAUCUAGACUUUACUAACGUUUUCAUCAAGUAUUAGAUUCAGGGGGAGCUAAGCUCAGAAUCAAGCAGUGACUUGAAUUCAGAAUGAGCAAGAUAGACUAUUCACAUCAGGAUAAGUUUUAUUCUAUAUCUCUAAACUCUGAGUGAAUUCAGUUUAAUGUUUAAGAAUUGUUCAUCAAAAAUCUUAGUUUUGUCAUCAUCAAAAAGGGGGAGAUUGUAAGAUCAAGUUUUGAUCUAGUAGUACAACUCUAUGUUUUGAUGAUUACAAGUUAACCUUUUGAUAUGAACAAUUGUGGUACUCUAACGUGUUUUUCUGAGUGUGCUAUUUACAGGCUCUGACCCUGACUCUAUUUCACACAAAUCAGAAGCACUGUGUAUAAAGGGUAACCCAAGCAACGCUUUCGCAUUCACCAUGUUCAGUAUGAACAGUGGAAAAGCUUCAGAAGAUCUGAAGCUAUACAAACUCUGAUGAGGACUCAGUCGCUAGAAGCUCUGAUGAUCCAGAAGUUCUGACAACCAAGAAACACUGAAGGUUCAGAUGUUCUGAUGGUGUAGAAGACUCUGAAGAUCCAGAAGCUGAAUAGUAGAAACUCUGAAGUCCAGAAGCAAGAAACUCUGAAGGCCAUGUUCUUCCCUCUGAGUUCAGAAUCAGAAGAUACAAUGGUCAGAGGAUCUGUGCUAUCCCUCUGACUCUGAUCAACCGGCUUCACAAGUUCCAAUACGAAGCAUUCCUCUGAUCAGAAGUCUCCUAGGUUAAAAGGUCAAGUCGCUAUCCAAGUACAAAAGCAAGUGUACCUUCCUGACGACCUACCUAACGUUCUCAGCCACAGCAGAAGCUGGAUUUUCCAGAACUGCCCUCCAACGGUAGCAUUUCCCAUGCAACGCUCAACCCUAAUCCUUGGAGUAUAUAUAGAGGCUGAAGAUUGAAAGAAGCGGCCAGAAGCAAUACACACGCGCAAGAUAUUCAAAAUAUUCUAAGCUUUCUUUCAUCUUGUAAUUUAUUUAGUUUACACUCAGCUUAUUUAGAAGCAAACCCUUGUAAACACCAACCUCAAACAGUUGUUUGAUUUUCCUUAAGGGACCGGGUAGGUCAGUAUCCUUAAGAAGACUAAGAGAGUGAAUCUUAGUGGUAGUUCCUUUAGGAGAUCAAGGUUGAUCGGAUCCUAGAGAAGACUAAGAGAGUGAAUCUUAGUGAUAGCUAAGUCAGUGUAUUGUUAGUCACUUGUAGGUUUCAAGUGCAGUUGUAACAAUUAUCUGAUUAGUGGAUUGCCUUCAUUCUAAGAAGGAAGAAAUCACCUUAACGGGUGGACUGGAGUAGCUUGAGUGAUUUAUCAAGUGAACCAGGAUAAAAUCCUUGUGUGCUUUUCUAUCUCUAUCUUUAGCACUUAGUUCUCGAAAAGAUUUGUUAAAAUCUUUAAGGUGGUAGUUUUGUACUGAAAACGUUAUUCAAACCCCCCCUUUCUACCGUUUUUCAUACCUUCACCGGGAGCAUUGUCUUUCCCGAGGGAGUUAGAAACUUUAAGUUGAGACCGGCAUUCAUCAACUUGAUGAGCCAAAACCAAUAUGGUGGAGGUACUUUGGAAGAUCCACAUGCUCACAUGGAGAGGUUCAUCCGGAAUUGCAACACUUACCGUGUGAACAAUGUUCCGACGGAUGCAAUUCGGUUGAGCUUGUUUCCAUUUUCUUUGAAGGAUGCAGCGGAGGAAUGGUUGAAUUCACAACCUCAAGGGAGUAUCACUACUUGGGAAGACCUAGCAGAAAAAUUCACAACAAGGUUCUUCCCAAGAGCUUUUUUGAGGAAGCUGAAAAAAGACAUUAUGAAUUUUGUGCAAACCACUGAGGAAAAUCUCUAUGAAGCUUGGGAGCGCUUCAAGAAGCUCUUGAGGAAAUGUCCUCAACACAAUCUCACCCAAGCUGAAUUGGUUGCAACAUUUUAUGAUGGUCUACAAUACUCUUGGAGGUUUGGCCUAGAUGCGGCUUCAAAUGGCGAGUUCGAUGCUCUUCCCCCACAAGCGGGGUAUGACUUAAUAGAAAAGAUGGCAGCGAGAGCCAUGAACUCUGAAAAUGAUCGCCAAACCCGAAGGAGUAAGCUUGAAGUGGAAGCUUAUGACAAGCUCUUGGCCUCCAACAAGCAACUCACCGAACAAGUGGCGGAGAUUCGAAUGCAUAUUAAGGAGACCAAGACUAUUGGUGCAAGAAUGACUUGUGUGGAGUGCAAGUCUUGUGGUGGACCUCAUGUUAGUAACUUGUGCACUGUCAAUGCUGAGAGCAAUGAAGCCAAAGCUAUAGCUCAAGGAAGCAUAGUUCCAUCCUCAAAUCAUGAACCUCUUGUCCAAACACAAGUUGUUGGAAAGGUGAAUUGCAAGAGGAGUUUAGAGGAGCUAUUGGAGAGUUGCAUCAACCGCAUGAACAACAACCAUAAGAACCAAGAGGCGGCUAUCAAGAACUUGGAGAACCAACUUGGCCAGCUAGCCAAGCAAAUUGCUGAAAGGCCUCAAGGUAAAUUUCCUUUCGAUACUAUCCCCAAUCCCGAACAAGAAAAUUCUGCUGUUGUUACCACUAGGAGUGGGAGAGUGUUACAUGAGUUAAAAAAGCAAAUUGAGGGAGAAAAAAGUGAGAAGAUAGUUGAGAAGGAAAGGAGUGUUCCUAUUAAAACUAGAUUGAUGAAUGAUCUUAUUCCUGAGCUUAGCAAAGUUCCAUUUCCUAAAGCAUUGGCUAAAAAGAAUUUGGAUAAAAAGUUUUCAAAAUUUAUGGAUGUUUUUAAGAAACUCCAUAUUGAUAUCCCUUUUUCCGAUGCUUUAGAGCAAAUGCCAAUCUAUGCUAAGUUCAUGAAGGACAUUUUAAGUAAGAGAAGGAAGUUGAGUGAGGUUGAUGAAACUAUUAUGAUGACCGAGGAGUGUAGUGCCAUUUUGCAAAGGAAAAUGCCUAAGAAGAGAAGGGAUCCCGGGAGUUUUACUAUCCCAGUGGAGAUUGAGGGGUUGACUGUUGUUGAAGCCUUAUGUGAUUUGGGAGCGAGCAUCAACUUGAUGCCGCUUAGCAUGUUUAGAAGGUUGAAUUUAGGAGAGGUUACCCCGACCAUGCUCUCCUUACAAAUGGCGGACCGAUCCCUAAAAACACCUUAUGGGAUCAUUGAAGAUGUGAUGGUUAAGGUUGAUAAGUAUGUGUUCCCAGUUGAUUUUGUGGUGCUAGACAUGGAGGAGGAUGCUAAGAUUCCUCUUAUUCUUGGCCGACCCUUCUUAGCCACUGGCAGGGCGAAGAUCGAUGUUGAUAAGGGUCAGCUCAUUCUCAGAGUUGGUGAGGACAAGGUAAGAUUUUCGGUUUUCAAUCCUAAUUUGCAAACUAACAUUAAUGAUGGUUUUGUUUGUGAUAUGAUCAAAAGCUUGUCCAGGUCUUCAAAGGAGACCCCCAAGGUAAGUGAAAAAGAUGUUGAGCUUAAUAAAGCUCUCAUCAAGCUUGUUAGUGAAAACAAGUAUGGGGGGUCUAAAGAUGAGAACUUCCAAGCCCACAUGGCCCGGUUCACUCAAGCUAGUCACCUUGUAAAGAUGGAAGGUGUGACUAGUGAUGAGCUCAAGGUGAAGCUCUUCCCUCACUCCUUGAGGGGGGAAGCAAGGAUUUGGUACGAUGGUUUAGAUGAUACCCUCUCUUGGGAGGAGUUAUUCCAAAGAUUUGGUGCAAGGUUCAUACCUUGCACAUGUGGAAGGAAAAUUGAUGGUAAGGAAUUUCCUUCCUAACACCAAAGGAAGGAGAGUCCACCUAGGACUAUAACUUAGGGUUGCUUGGGAGACAACCCAAGUCUUGUUUUCUUUUGCUUGUUUGUUUGUUGCAUUUUGCAGGGAAUGAGAGCAUGGAUUUUGGAGUCAGAGGUGUAUCUAAGGCCGCCAUGGUAAUUGGUAAAAGAAGGUCGACUCUUUCCUUUAAGUUAAUUCAUGCAUUUUUAGCAUAUUUUCUCUUUGUAGAACCUUUUGUUUUUUUUUCUUUUAUUCAUGCAUUGUUUUGUUAGAGUCGUUUUUGGGUCUUUACUUCCCUAUACUCACAUGUUUUUGCCCGUAGUUUUGCUCUCUAACAUGUUGCUAGUUUUGAAAACGUUUUUGUGAAUACUUAUGUUGUCUUUUGGGGAUGAGUGAUUGCAUGCUUUGGGGAAGAGAGGAGGAGACUUCGGUCUUCCGAGUGUUUCUUAAGGAUAGAGUUGGUGUGAGUCCAUAAGGGUCCAUCUUUGACCCUUCACCAUAUAAUUUCCCUGGAGGAUCCUGUCUCACUCGUACUUCUUGAUUCUGUAUUGAUUUCACUCUUUGCAUGCUUUGUGAUACUUGCACAAUUCUUGAGACUUGUAGGUUUUUGAGCUUCAGAGUUUGUUGGCUUGAACUUUGUCCCUAGUUGUCUCUUUUGAGCCUAUUGGAGAUUUCUUUGUUAGCUAAAUGAUUGGGAUGAAUGAUAGGUUGGAUUUUGGGGAGUGUUGGUCCUUGCAUUGUGUUGGAGCUAGUAAUUAAAGUUGAGAAUGUCUCUUGCCCCAAGUGUAAAAAAAAAAAGAAGAAAAAGAAAAAUAAAGGAAAAAAGAGACUCCUAGUCAAGUUGGAGUUGCAAAAAGAAAAAAAAAUAGAAGAAAAGAAAGUUGAAAAAGGGGUCAAGAGACUUGUGCUUAAAAAGUUUGUUGUUAAAGCUCCGGGGUUACUAAUAGGACCACACUCAAGAUGCUUGAAGCUCUAGCCUUCCUUAGGGACCAACCACCUUGUACUUCACCAAUCCAACAUUUCAACCCUUUAAAAGUCUCUUUGAAUUUGUGCAUGUUUGAUCUUUGUUGCUCUUGAGUGAAUGAUAUCCAAAACCUAUGAACUGCUUGUGUGCUCAGUGCACUAAAUAUAUAUCUCAUCCUAGGAAUUUUAGUUCUAUAUGUUUCUCAUGAAUGGACUCUGCACUCUUCUCUUUUCAAAAGAUGCAUGAAGUAGGUUGUGGGUCUUUCUCUUGGAACUAGCUGUGAUUAUUUUGUCCCCCUGUUUUUGUGAAGUAUUCCUUGUUGAGAGCACUGGUGUGGGAGCAUUUCUUGCGCUUGAGGGCAAGCGAGUGUUAUUUACGCUUGAGGACGAGCUGUCGUUGAGUAUAGUGGUGUGAUGACCCUAUUUUAGUAGUGUUUUUAGGGUCAUUUCUUUGUGUGUUUUGAGUCUUUUUGUUGAGUCUCAUGUAGUGUUUCAUGCAUUUUUAUAUUUUCUUUAGUCUUUAUUUGGCUUUGGUAAUUUAGUAGUUUUAUAGGGAGUUUUCUUGCAUUUUGAGUAAAGUUUAGGACUUGCAUGGUUUUAUUGUGUUAAUUGAAGGAUCUCAUGUGCUAAUAAGCUCUUUGAGCUUCUAGAAUUUUCCUUGGCUUGUUGGUUAAGUUUCAGAUCAGGAACUGAAGAAGGAAGAAGGCCAAUAAGCAUGGAAUUGAUGGAAAACUUAAAAAGGAUUGAAAAGAGGAGUUUCAGAAGCCAAAAAGCCCUUUUCAAGCGAGCUCAAGCGCCUAGGCGCUGGGGGAUGGGCGCCUAGGCGCCAAUUGGUCCAGAGAGCAUGUUUUUUAAGUGCAAUUGGCGCUCAGGCGCUCUGAAUUGGCGCCUGAGCGCCCAGACUCGACCUGUUAGCCUUUAAAUAGGCUUUUUGCCAUUUCUUUUGUAACUUUUGUCAUUUCUAUACAUUCCUAAAUAAGUUACAAGUAGGGUUAGGCUCUGGAGCUUGAGGAGAAGCAUUCUCCAAGUCCAUGUUCCAGGUUUUAUCCUUCUUUUCUUGUAUGGAUUCUAUAGCCAUGCUUGGCUAAAACCCCCUUUUGCUUUGGGUUCUUUGUAAGACUUUGAAUGUUUUAGCUAUCAAUCCUUUUCUAUUCAUGAUGUUCUGAGUAAACCCUUGAAUCUCACUUCUAUGCUUUAUCUUUCAAGCUUGUAUGCAUGCUAGCUUCUUACUUUUCUAUAAUCAUAACGAUAGUUUGUUAUAGGAUUGGGACUUGUUGUGAGAUUACCUCUUCUAUACUUGCUGCUAGGAAUAGAGGAAGGGUUGGGGUUUGUUGGCCUGAAUUGCAUGCUUAGUGCUUCUAACAAAUGUUUAGGUUGUCAAGGAAUUGAACCUAUCUUUUGAUUAGAAAGGGUUUUCUUUACGAGGCAUCGAUAGAUAACUAUCUAGGCUAGAACAUCAAGGAGAGACUCAGGAUUAAUUGAAUAGGGAGGUUUGCUAAAACUGAAUUAGUCGAACAAGAACCCAAGGCAAUCUCAUCUCUGUUUUUCAAUCGCUUUAUUACUUGAUUACUUGUCUUUUUGCAAACUCAAGAAACAACCAAUUAUUAAAACUGAAUUUUACUUGCUUUUCAACCUUGAACUUGAAUCUUAAACUGAAUUGCCACACCAAUUCCCUGUGGUUCGAUAAUUUAAAACCCGGAGGUAUUCGUACACUUGCGAAUUGACCAACAUAAAGCAGAAGUAAAAUUAACGGUUAGAAAUUAAAGACAUGAUUAUGAACAGUUAAUACACAAAAACACACGAUGGAGAAUAAGCACAUCUACACUCAUUACAACAGAUUGUCCGGUCGGGCACAAGGAACGAUGCAUCAGAAUAAACUGACACACGUUUGCUGUCUUGUCUCAGAGUAAGCACCAAUGGGUACUCAGCAUCUGACAAAGUUACCUUCUGAACUAGACAUCUUCUGAUAAAGAAGCAUCAUAGUCAGAGGUUCUGUUCCAUCUUCAUACUGAACAAAAGUCCAUAUUCAGAUUUUUCAGUAUAAAAUUAAAUCUAUCCUCUGCUAAGGGCUUUGUAAAGAUAUCUGCCCAUUGAUGAUCAGUAUCAACAAACUUCAGAAGAAGUACGCCCUUCUGAACAUAAUCUCUAAUAAAGUGAUACUUUACCUCAAUGUGUCACUACAACAAAAACAGCCUUUAGCGACAAUCUUAUAGCAGCAAUACCUCUCUUGUCGGUAAUUCAAUAAGAAAAUUCAAAACUUUGUGAUAAACAUAGAGAGGUCGGUAAUACUUAAUGUAUAUCAACAAUAAUGAUAAAAGCCACUAAACUUUCCCACUGAAACUCUUUUUUACGCGCGCGUUCCCUUUCUUUUUCCACAAAACUCUUUCUCUUUCGCUGAAACCGCUACCACCUCUCCGAUCUGAAGACUUGAAGCGAAGGUGAGGAUUCAAUUUCCCCUUUCUCCCAGAAACCGCUACCACCUCUGAGAUCUGAAGCUUCACGUUAUGGUGAUGGAGAUUACAUGAAGGUGAUGAAGAUCUGAAGCUUCGCAAAUGUUCUCUCUGUUUCUCUCACAGAAAUUCCGGAAGGUAAGUUUCCAGAUCUGAAAUCUCCACUGCAAUUUCGUUUCUGGUUCUGGAAUUCUCAUCCCAACGUCACUUGAAUUGUGGAAUCUGAAAUUUUCAGUUCGUUUUGUUGAAAAAUUCUUCAGAGAAUCAGAGAUAGAAAUUGCAAGAGAGAUAAUAGGGUUUUUGUGCAGAAGAGAGAAAGGGGCAUUUCCAUUUCAAUGUGAUUUUAGCUGCAUACUCUUUGAUUUAAGAAAUGAACAAAACAAUCAGGGUAUGUUUUUUUUUGGUAAAAUUUGAGUCCAGAGAGAAGAGCAGGCUCAACAAGUUAGUUAAGGGAAGAGUUUGAUGCAAUUUUGAGUCUCUUAAGUCUCCAUUAUGCUAUUUUAGUCUAACUAUUUUAGUUUGUAUCAUAGUCUCAAGUAUCAAGAGUUUGCUGCAAUUUUUGGCUAGAUAAGUUAAAAAAUGCAUCUAAAAUUUUGAUUUAAAACUCGUUAUUUUGAAUGAUUUAUUGUCAAAUUAGUUUCUUAUUGAAGCAUUGUUUUUUACAGGAUCAAACUACAUUUUAUAGUAUUAUGGCUAGGAAAGUUAACCGCAGGUUUGUCGAUGAACAACAUCAUGAUGAAGAAGUGCAGCCUUAUAUACUUCAAUUAAUGCAUGAAGAGAACUCUCACUCUGAAGCACAUGUUGUUGAAUCUAAUGAAUUGAUGAAUUCAGCUAGAACUAAUGAUGAACAAAAUGAUGAAGCAGGUGCUAUUAUUUUAUAGAAUAAUUUCUGUACUUUUAUAUUUGCUUGAAUUGAAUCCUGACAUUCAAAUGCUUUCAUAUUAGGUUCUUCAAAAACAAGAAAGGUCCGUGGGCCUACCUUAUUAAAAGAUAUAUGGAAUAUGCCUCGAGGGAAGACAAUUGAUGUGAGAUUCAAUACACGUAACCAAGCUAUAGGAAAGGAAGGUCGAAAGCUUGCUAGCUUUCUAGGAAUUAUAGCUAGAACACCACAAUCAACACCUUUAAACAUAGAAGAUUGGAGAUCAUUUGAUAAAAAUGAAAAGAGUAAAUUGGUGGAGCUUGUGAGGGUAUGGAAUAUCUUUACUUAAUCUUCAUUUAAUAUUGCUUUGCUUUUAUCAUGCAUAGUUUAACCUUGCAAUUAUUUAUUGUAUAUCUGUAGAAAAAGUUCUCAAUCCCUACAUGCGGUGAGGAAUUUGUCAAGAAAUCACUUGGGAAGAAAUGGAAGGAUUACAAAUGUGAUUUAAGGAGUAUGUAUACGACAAUGUAUAAGACCAGAGAUACCUUAUUGAAAAAUAGACCAAAUCGUAUACCUAGAGACCAAUGGAUUGGUUUGGUCUCUUAUUGGCUUUCUGAUAAAGUAAAGGUAACAGUUUUAAAAGAAGUCAUUUGGAAAAAUAUAAUAUGUUCUAAGUUUCUUAAUUCCUUGAGAUGCUUGAAGUGUUGGUGCAUAAGUUAGCCUUUUUUGUCUGAGUUCACAUGAUGGAAUCAAAUAUUGACUAAAUGAAUUCAAUAAUUUUAGUAACCAUGAAUUCUAGUUUCUGAAUCAAUUAAUUGUUACCUUGAUUUAUAGUAUUUUAUGGAACUCACACAUUGUUUCUCUUUAGUUUUUGUAAAUAAAUAGUGAUGGUGUUUUUUAUUUUACAAUAACAGAAGCGUAGCCAGACAAAUAGAAGCAAUAGAACAAAGCAAAAGAUUCCUCACACUGGAGGAUCCAAGAGUAUCGGAACUCUAAUGGAUGAACAGGUAUUAAUUAUAUAUAUAUAUAUAUAAUUUUUCUUAAGAACUUGUUUAAAAUCAAUUAUUUUGUAGGCCAAAGAUGGGAUAGAGCCUACGCGAGCAGAAGUUUUCAUUUUAACUCAUAAGAAACGCAAAGACGGUAGACCAUUAGAUGAGGAGUCUUCUAAAACAGUGGUAAGUUGAAAUUAUAUUAUCCUAUUAUAGCUAAAUUAACUACUAGUUGGCGAUGUGUCUCUCUAGUUCUGAUUUGGUCAACGCCAUAAAUUUAAAAAAGUGGAUAGGUGGUAGAGUAAACCAAGAGAAUCAAACCCAAUCCUAAACUAGUUUUGUCAUCAUUCUGAUUAUAAUGCUUAGCCAUUUAACAUACAUAAAGAACAGAAUUGAAUAUAAUUCUUGUCUAUAUGAGAAUUUAUUGUUGUUCAUCUACACAUACUCUAGUUUGUAUCAGACUACUUAGUGUGAUAAAUUGGACAUUUAUUUAGUAGUUUGUAGUAGUGCCAUUUCUUAGAUUGCAGAGCAAAAUGUUCCUCUUGUUUUUUUAUGCCAGUCUCAUUCACUCACCCUCAUUAGGAUAUGAUACAAGAAAAGUUGAACAACGAAAGGACCUCUACUGAACAAUCUGAUGGUAGCGUUGCUUGGGAAGGAGAUGUGUAUACCCAAGUAUUUGGACCUGAAAAAAGUGGCUAUAUUCGUGGUUUAGGACUUGGUCCAACUCCUUCUAUAUUGUGGGGUAAUAAGUCUUUGUCAGGGAAUAUCUCUAGGAGCAAUAUGUCAAAUGACAUGCUCCAAAGGUUAGAGCAAGAGAUGAAGCAGUUGAAGGAAAGGCAUGAUGAAGAGAUGACGAUGAUGAAACAAAAUCAGGAAAGAUUGUUGUCAGAAUUAUCUUUCAUGAGACAAGUGAUGUGUAAAUUUAUUCCUACGGAGUCAUCUAUUCUGCAUAACCUUAGCAGAAGCUUAUUUGGACGAGUAAGACAUUAAAAGCUUAUCAACAUAUUUGUUAAACUUUGAUUGUAAAAUACAAGUUUAAUAUAUCAUGUCUUAAUAUUAUGUUAUUAGGUCCCAUCUGAUGCUAACAGUGGUCAUGAAGGAGCACCCCAAGCACCACACAAGUCAUCCUGAUUGCACAGUGUUGAUCAAAAUAUUGAAGAUGCUCAAGGUAUUGCACUUGUAUUCAUUUUUUAUCCAAACAGAAUUUUAUGAAAAUGAACAAAGAUACUUAUAGCAUUUGGUUUAUUGAACACAAUUUUUGUGAACUAGAAGUCACUGCUACUUGUCACCUACUUCCAACUGCAGACAGACCAUUCAGUUCAUAUUUUGCUUUCAUUGACAUUGUCUCAUGGUAUUGCACAUGAACAUGUGUUAUUUUUCAUUUACAUUAUAUUAUGAACUGUGAUUUGUAUAUAUUUAAAUAAUAUAUUCAUUUUAUGUUAUCAUUUCAGGGCAUAAUUUUUGAUGUUGAGAAAUCAAACCAUGGAAGAUUUCACUGGGGGAUUAAGCGCUGAAGUAUUUGUUCACGAAUUAUAUACUUUGCAGAUAGUACAUAUUACUAUUAGCCUUGGAUAUUAGUAUACUUUAUGUUUUGAAACUCAACAACUUGUAAUAGGAGCACUUAAUAGUAUAGGGUGGAUUUAAUUGGUGAGAUAUUUUCUCAAUGCAAUUAUUAUAUUUGCAUAAUAUAAAUUGUUAAGUAUUGUUGUUACUUGUUACUAUACAAAGUAAUAAAAAAAUUAGCAUUACUGUUCUCUUUAUAUCACUUAAAAUUUUAUUUCUUAAAUUUUCGAAAUUAAGGGUAAUUCCUGACAUCUUGGGCUGGCAAUGCUGAUGAGUUUUUAGUGGCAAUAAUAAAUGCCAACGAAGGAUUCAGAGGUGGCAAAAUUAAAAAGUGUUUUAGUGGCAAUACUUAAAGCCAGGAAAAAUUGCCGCUAAAAAUGAAAAUAAUUUCCCGGCCGUUCAUGUCCCCUUUACCGGCGCCCGGUACAAUAGUCGGGAUUGCUUUUACCGACGUCGCAUACUCCGGCUGAACACAUAUAGCCGGUAAAGUUGUUAGCGGCCAUUUUUAUUGCCGCUAAAAGCAAUAAUAAUUGCCACUAAAAACGAGUUUUGUUGUAGUGUGUUUUGCCCUUGAAUGUAAGAUUAGAUUCUUACUGAGUGAGAUUGCAACAGUAUUGUCACAGUAGAUUGGGAUGUUGCUCUCAAGGAUUUGAUAAUCUUCUAAUUGAUGUUCCAUCCAGAUCAUCUGAGUACUGCAAAUAGCUGCUGAGAUAUAUUCUGCCACUGCAGUGGAUAGUGCAAUAAUAGACUGCCUCUUGCUUGCCCAUGAGACUAAGUUACUUCCCAGAAAUUGACAAUUUCUAGAAGUACUUUUCCUUUCAGUUCUAUCUCCAGCAUAAUCAGCAUCACAGUAACCUGAAAGCUUAUACUAUGAUGUUUUCUUAUACAUCAAGCAAAGGUUAGUGGUACCUUUCAGAUAUCUGAGAAUUCUCUUAACAACAGUUAAGUGAGUUUCUCUCAUAUCUGAUUGGAAUCGAGCACAUAAAUAUACACUAAACAGAAUAUCUAGCCUAGAUGCAGUUAAGUAUAGAAGUGAUCCUAUCAUACCACGAUAGAGCUUCUGACAUACUUUUCCACUGGCAUCUUCUUUCUCCAGAAUGCAUGUAGGAUGCAUUGGAGUCUUAGCAAUCGUAGAUUCUGUCAUAUUGAACUUCUUCAGAAGUUCCUUUGUGUACUUGCUUUGAUGGAUGUAAGUUGCUUUUGGUUUUUGAUCAACUUGUAUUCCCAGAUAGUACUUAAGUUCUCCCAUCAUACUCAUUUCAAAUUCAGCCUGCAUCAUCUCAAAAAAUUCUUUGCAAAGAGAUGAAUUAGCAGAUCCAAAUAUAAUAUCAUCAACAUAAAUUUGCACAAUUAAGAUAUCAUCUUUGUAAGUUAAUGCAAAAAAGAGUUGUAUAUACUUUACCCCUUACAAACUCAUUUUCCAGAAGGAAUGAGCUUAGUCUCUCAUAUCAUGCUCUGAGAGCUUGCUUCAGACCAUAGAGAGAUUUCUUCAAUUUGAAAACAUGGUCAGGGUUCUUCUCAUCUUCAAAACCAGGAGGUUGGUGCACAUACACUUCCUCUGAGAUGUAUCCAUUCAGGAAGGCACUUUUAACAUCCAUCUGAUGAAGAAUUAUGUUGUGAUUCACUGAGAAUGAGAUCAGCAGUCUGAUAGCUUCCAAUCUUGCUACUGGAGCAAAUGUUUCAGUAUAAUCUAUCCCUUCUUGCUGACUGUAGCCUUGAGAAACUAGCCUUGCUUUGUAUCUGACUACAUCUCCUUUUUCAUUCAGCUUGUUUCUGAAUACCCAUUUGGUUCCAAUGAUGUGAGCAUCUUGAGGUUUCUUGACAAGGUUCCAAACGUCAUUCUUGGAGAAUUGAUUCAGUUCUUCUUCCAUUGCUAGAAUCCAGUCUUUGUCUUGAAGAGCUUCAUCAAUUGACUUUGGUUCAAUUAAGGAUACCAAUCCUUUCAGACUAAGCAGAAUCUCUUCAGAGGGUCUGAAUGCUGAUCUGGUUCUGACUGGUUCAUCUUUGUUUCCCAUAAUCAACUCCUUAGGGUGAGAGGCAAUAAUUCUGAUAUUCUUCUGAAACUGGGAAUCAGAGGGACUAGCUUCCUCUGGAGAGUCUGCCUCUGGCUCAGCUUCCUCUGGAGCUUUGCCUUUAUCAGAAACAUUUACACUCAUAUCUGCAAACUUUUCAACUAGCUUUGACUGAUCAGGGUCAAGCUUAUCAUCAAAUCUAACAUGAAUAGAUUCCUCAAUAGUUUUAGCAUCAGUAUUAUAAAUUCUAAAGCCUUUAGAACGAUCAGAGUAAUCAAGUAAUGGACAUUUAGAAGAUUUAGAAUCAAACUUAUGCAAUUUAUCCCUAGUAUUCAGAACAUAGCAAACACAACCAAAAGGAUGAAAGUAAGAAAUGUUGGGCUUUAUAUUCUUCCACAAUUCAUAAGGAGUCUUAUUCAGAAUUGGUCUGAUAGAGAUCCUGUUCUGAAUGUAACAUGCUGUGUUUACUGCCUCUGCCCAGAAGUGCUUUGCCAUGUCAGUUUCUUGAAGCAUGGUUCUAGCCAUCUCCUGAAGAGUUCUAUUCUUCCUCUCAACAACACCAUUUUGUUGAGGAGUUCUAGGACAAGAGAAAUCAUGUGCAAUCCCAUAGGAAUCAAACAGACUCUCAAACUUGUCAUUCUCAAACUCUCCACCAUGAUCACUUCUAACACGCACAAUCCUGCAAGCCUUCUCGUUUUGCACUUGGGCAAUAAAGGUAGAGAACACAGAAUGAGACUCAUCCUUGCAGGAUAGAAAUUUUACUCAUGUCCAGCGGCUAUAGUCGUCAACAAUGACCAUCCCAUAUCUUUUGGCACCUAAAGACUCAGUUUUCACUGGUCCAAACAAGUCGAUAUGCAGAAGUUCCAACGGCCUUGAGGUGGAAACAACAUUCUUUGCCUUGAACGAGACUUUUGUAAAUUUUCCUUUCUGACAUGCUUCACAAAGAGCGUCUGAAGAGAACUUCAAAGUGGGUAAGCCCCUGACAAGGUCAAGCUUACUCAGCUGAGAAAUCUUUCUCAUACUGGCAUGCCCUAACCGUCUAUGCCAUACCCAUUGCUCCUCAUUAACAGAAAGAAGGCACUUUACAUUCUAAGUUUCAAACUCAGAUAAUUUGAUCUUAUAAGUGUUCUUCCUCUUCUUGCUGCUAAACAGAACAAAACCAUCGAUCUGACUUACAGCCCUACAAGACUUUUGAUUGAAAAUAACAUCAUAACCCUUGUCAGCUAAUUGACUUAUUGACAAUAAGUUGUGAGUUAAACCAUCUACCAACAGAACAUUAUCAAUGCAUGGACUAUUAUCAACACCAAUAGUACCAUAACCAACAAUUUUACCCUUCUCGUUGCCACCAAAGCCAACUUCGCCUCCAGGCUUAAGUUUUAGCUUUUGGAACUUACGCCUUUCUCCCGUCAUGUGACGCGAGCAUCCACUGUCCAGAUACCAUGAUUGGUGUUUCAGUGGAGCGAUCAAGGAUAUCUGUAACAUAGAUAAUCUUAUCCUUAGGUACCCAUUUUCUGGGUCCUUUCUUGUUAGUUACCUCAGAGGUUCUGACAACCUUAGGUUUCUCAACAAGAUAAUGUAAAGGAAUUCGAAAAUGAUAUUUAGACAUAGAGAAAGUUCCCUUUUUGAGAGGGGGGUCAGCAACUUUAACAGGCAAUGGUUCAGGCAAUAUAGUACCAGAGGGUACAAAAUGUUCAUACAGAGGUUUAGCCUUAGGCAUAGGAGGCUCAUUUCUACUGGGUCUAGAAUAGCCAAUGCCAUACAUUCCAUUUCUGCUUACGCCAUAGAUCAUUGAAGCCAUCAAGCUUCUGUCUACGCUUUUAGCUAGGAAUCUUUGAAAAGAUUUUUCAUAUUUGGAUUCAUUCUUAAUAUCAGAGGCAUCACAAGCAACAACUUCUUCUAACUUAACAAUCUGGUUUUUGAGCACAGAGUUAGAGUUUACUAAAGCAUGAUUAUUCGCUUUUAACUCAGAAAUAAUUUUCUCAUGUUCAGUAGAAGUCUUAGAAACAGCAGAGAAAUCAUAUUUCAACUUUUUAUGCUUAGUCAGGAGAGAGUUAUAUUUAUCCAUGAUUUCAGACAAAGCACAUUUAAGUUCAGAGGUUGAGAAAGAAGCGAAUACCUCAUUUUCAUCGCCAGAGUUUGGAUCUCCCUCUGAUGCAGAUUCAGAUUUAAUUGCUUCGUUCGACUCUGCUUCCUUGUCCUUGACAAUAGCCAUGAGUCCUUCAACAACUUCUACAUCAGAGUCAACAUCCUCUGACUCUGAUUCAUCAAAAGUCACCAUGAGACCUUUCUUAGCUUUGAAAUGCUUCUUUGGCUUCUUGUCCUUUUUCAGCUUUGGACAAUCACACUUGUAGUGCCCUGGUUCUUUGCAUUCAAAACAUGUGACUUCCUUUGAUGAAGACUUCUUCUGACCAGAUGAGGAUUCAUGCUUUCCUUUAGCCUUUCCAGAGCCUCUGUACUUGCUCUACCCGUGCUUCCAGAUGCGGUUGAGCUUUCUGGAGAUCAAGGUUAGCUCAUCUUCACAAGAAUCUUCAGAGGUUUCUUCAGAUUCUUCUGCUUUAGCUUGGAGAGCUUUAGCCUUUUCAUAUUUGGAUUUCAAGGCUAUAGACUUCUUCUUAUGAUCCUGAUGUUCAGCACGCUUCAGUUCAUGACACUUCAGUAUGCUUAUGAGUUCUUCCAAACUCUUCUGCUCAACAUCUCUUGUGAGAUCCAAGGAAGUUAUCAAAGGCAUCCAGCUUUCAGGAUGACCUCUAAGGAUCCUCAUGAUAUGAUCAACAGUGGUGUAGCUUUUGUUGAGGGGUCUUAUUCCAGCAAUGAGCAACUGAAAUCUGGAAAACAUAUCCUUAAUGGACUCACUGGGUUCCAUUUGGAAGGAUUCAUACUUCCUGAUCAAAGACAACGCCUUUGAUUCUUUCACCUUCUUAUUUCCUUCAUGGGUCAUCUUCAAGGAGUCAAAGACCCUUAGCAUACUCACGGUCUGUUAUAUUUUGGUAUUCUUCAUAGGAAAUAGCACUGAGAAGAAUAGUUCUAGCUUUGUGAUGCAGCGAGUAAAGCUUCUUCUGCUCAGCAGUCAUCUCUGUUCUGGAGAUCUUCUUGCCAUCAUCAUCAACUGGACGCUCGUAGCCAUCCACUAUGAUAUCCCAGAGAUCUGCAUCAAAGCCUAGAAAAAAGCUUUCGAUUCUGUCAUUCCAGUACUCAAACCUUUGACCAUCAAACAUAGGAGGCUUUGCACUGUAAACAUCUUUUUACGCUUCACUGGUGGUAGCCAUCUCAGUUUUUCACACCGGCCCGGAUCACUGAACACUGUUAGGUGUGGUAAUCAGAACUUGCGCUCUGAUACCAAUUGAAGGUAUGAAAAACGAUAGAAAGGGGGGGGGUUGAAUAGCAUUUUCAAACUAAAACUUUUCCCACUUGAGAUUUUAACAAAUCUCUUCAAACACAGAAGAUAAAAGUGCUAAGAUAAGAGUUGAGGAAAGCACACAAUGAUUUUAUCCUGGUUCACUUGAUAAAUCCCUCAAGCUAAUCCAGUCCACACGUUAAGAUGAUUUCUUCCUUCUUAGAAUGAAGGCAAUCCACUAAUCAGAGUUUGUUACAACUGCACUUGCAACCUGCAAAGUGACUAACAAUACAAUGACUUAGCUAUCACUAAGAUUCACUCUCUUAGUCUUCUCAAGGAUCUAACCAACCUAGGUCUCCUUAAGGAAAAACAAACAACUGUUUGAGAGUUUGGGUUUACUAAGAAAUGCUUCUCAGAAAGCUAAAGUAAACACAAUGUAAUCAGUUUGAAGAAAGAUUGCUAAGAGAAUAUUUGAAUAUUGCUUGAGCUUGAACAUGGUUUCUUAGACGACAUCUUUCAUCUUCAGCCUCUUUAUAUACUCCAAGGAUUAGGGUUUAGACGUUGCAUGGAAUACUAACGUUGGAGGGCAGAUCUGGGAUUUCCAGGUUCUAUUGUGGCUGAACACGUUAGGUAAGGUCGUCAGGAAUAGUACAGUUGCUUUUGUACUUGGAUAGCGACUUGACCUUUAACCUAGAUGACUUCUAAUCAGAGUGACGCUUCAUGUUGGAACUUGUGGAGCUUGGUGAUCAGAGUCAGAGGGAAGCUUUGAUCCUCUGACCUUGUAACUUCUGCUUCUGAACUCAAAGGUGAAGUACUUGGUCUUCAGAGCCAGCUUACUCUUGGACUUCAGAGUCUUCACUUCUCAGCUUCUGGACCUUCAGAGCCUCUGGACCUACAGAGCUUCUGGAUCUUCAGUACUUCUGGUCUUCAGAACUUCAAGUGAUCUGAAUCCAUAUCAGAGCUUAACAAUCUUCAGAUCUUAUGAAGCAUAUUCUAUUGUUCAGAUUGAACAAAGUGAGUGCGAAAGCGUUGCGUAGGUUACUCUUUGAGCAUAGUGCUUCUGAUUUAUGUGUAAUUUGACCAGAGUCGGAGCCUGUCAUUUAAACACUCAGAAAACAACGUUAGAGUACCAUAAUAUUUCAUACAUAAUAGCUAACAUGUAACCAUCAAAACAUAGAGUUGUACUACAUGAUCAAAACUUGAUCUUACAACUUCCAGAAAUACCCUAGCUUGAUCACCAAGUAAUCAAAACGAAGCUUCACAUAAAACCUAGCCAACUCAUUGCAGGUUUCGCAGGGACAGAUGUCACAGGCAAGAUAUUGUGACAUCGGGUCCGACAUGUUGGCCAAAAACUUAACUUAGCUAAAAUGCAGACAACAUAACAAAGGAACAACAAUCUCCCCCUUUGUCAAAUUUUAGCUAAUACAAUCCACUACCAUAAAGAACUCUUCAGCAGCUUGGAACUAGAAAAACCUUGAAUCAACAUAGAAGAGCAUCCACACAAACAAGGUAGCUUACACAUCAACAUAGCUAGUAGCAUCAGUUAUGCACAUUUCAAUCUCAAAACCAUUCUCAGUGCAGCAGGUCACCAUAUCAGAGUUUUAGCACAGCAGCACACAAUCAACUAUUACAAACAACAAGAUGUUGUUUGAAUAGAACACACAACUGCACAGUAGCAAGAAGCUACCAAACCACAAUAGCAGAAAGCCAUAAAGAACCAACUACCAAAUACCAGAGAUAACCAAAUACUACUAAUUACUCCCCCUUAUUAGCAUAAUUUGGCAAAGGUACUCAUAACAGAAUAGCAUCCAAGUGCUUACCAGAGCUAUCCACAGAAGUCAUCAGCACCAUAUUCAAGAAUUAUACAGACCAGGAGCAAAUAAGGAGCGCACAUAGCCACAUAGGGCUCAAAUACAUCCAAAAGAAAAAGAACAAAUCAAAGAGAUAUGCUCUGAGUUGCAGAACUCUCAAAACCAGUCACAUCCUCUUCAUCUUCAUCUUCAUUGUCUUCCUCUUCUUUUUCCUCUACAACCUCCUCAGUCUCAGCAUCUUCUUCUUCAUCAGCAGCAGCCUCAGCUUCCUCUUCUUCACUUUCUUCCUCAGCAGCAGCAGUUGCAACAUUUGACAUAGUCUUGAUGAGUUGAUCAACAUUGAAUUUUCUGACUUUGCAAGCCUGAAUAGUGUCACCAAGAGACUUGGAGACAGCCUUCAACUCAGCCAAGAUGUCUUCCUUGCUAGAACCAACUGCCUUAGUGCCACUGGAACUGGCAGUUCCCUUUGCUGCAGAGAGCACAAUGUCUGGAACAUGUGUCCCAGCAAACAACCGGUAAUCAAACUUGAGAGGCAGGGAAUUCUUACCUUGAGACUCAUCAGCCCUCACAAUAGUAAGUUGUUGAUGUGUAAUGAUCUCUGAGAGAAGACAAGGAAACAGAAUAGGCAGCUUCACAGUAUAUGAUCCAGCAUGCUUGAGAGUCUGCUCAAAAACCAGCUUUCCAAAAUCAAACUCACCCCCAGUUCCAACCAAAUAAAGCAUUUUGGCCAGAGGUGGAGUCACACCAGACAAGUGAUUGGUGGGCAUCCAAUUUGCAGUACCAAUCUUGUAGAGAACAACAUAUUUGGCAGUAAGCCUCCCAGAUGGAAGCAAUCCCUUCUUAGGCCACUUCCUGACCAACUUCCCGGUAAGGGUUGUAGCAAAGGCUCCCCCCCACAGCAACAGGGCUUCUGCUCAAAAACUCAUUGAUCACUUCAGGAGAGAAGUUGAUGCACUUCCCCCUCACAAACAUCUUCCUGUACUCGGCACUGGAAGCAUCUUCACAAUCAGCAGGGAUGUUCACAAUGAAGUCCCUAACAAGCUUGUCAAAACAUCUGCCAAGAUCCUGGACAGUCUUCAUCAAACCAGCAGCAGAGAUAACCUCCAUUAUUUCCUUGAGUUCCAAGGCAUCUUCAUGUAGUUCCCUUUUAAUAGCAAGCCUCCUUUGAACCACAUAUUUCCAUCUCUGAGCAGAGUUUGGAAAAUGAAAGGACACAUUGUCCACAGGAGCAUCAGGAACAUUUUGAGGAAUAUUCUUACCUUUCAUCCGUUUUCUGGCAGUGGUUGAGAUGUCUGGGACAUCUGGCACGACAUCGGCCUCGAAGUCAGGAUCAGACACAUGUCUUCUUUUCUUUCCAGUAGAAGGUGAUGACGUCUUGUAUUUCUUUGUCUCCUUCCUAGGUUUUGGAAUAUGAGAACUUCUGGAAGUCUUUGGAGUCGUAGCAGCAGAUCCUUCGUUCUUCUGCUUCGUUAUGUCUGCAACCUUCCUUUUGGCACCACUAACAGGAACAUGGGACUCUUUGAUGAGCAAUUCUCCAUCAGAGUCUUCAUCAGCAGAUGCAACCACCUUCUUUUCCUUACCCUUUUUGGUGGAUGAAGUAGGGGUUUUUUGAACAGGAACCUCCUCAGAGGAAGAAACGUCAUGUGCAGAGGUUUCAUUCUCAUCGUGCUCCUUUUGACCCGAAGCAUGAGACUUGACAAUAGAACCAGAGGGAGAGGAUUGAUGUGUUAGUUCAACAUCUGGUGCAACAUUUGCAGCAGUGGCUACAUUUGCAAGUUUCUCAAGAGCCUCAUUAUCUUCUUGAUUCACAGCUUCUGGAAGAUUUGGAUUUUGAUCAUCCUCAUCAUCAGAGAUAAUUUGUAUCCCCAAAUUCUUACUGGGUCCUCUUUUAGGAGCCACAUGCUUCAUACGAAUGCUUCUUCUUCGUGGUUGGGCUGACCCAGUUGGAGCAUGAGUAGCACUUGCAGCUUUAUGGGGAACCCUAGAGGGAUUUGAAGAAGAUGCAGUGGCACCCACAAUCUUCACAUUGAGGUCUGGGCUGAUGAUCUUUGAACCUCCCUUCUUCUUCUUGCCAGAAUCAUGAGUCAUUGUGAAGUGAACUGUAGAGAAAACUGAAAAAAAUAACCGUUGAAGGUUAGAGAGAGAAAACAGUCACACUUUUGGACAACACACUGAAAAGGAUUGAUGAAUCCCAAUACGCGAUCAUGGGCAGUUAUAUAAUGAACAAUAUAGUCGUUGCCCGUGACAAGUGUCAUUAACUUCUACAAGUCAGUUAGGACACAAAUCCCUAACUUUCCUCUUAAUUUCUCAAAUUUUGCUGCAUCCAAUGCUUUUGUAAAAAUGUCAGCUAACUGCAACUCAGUUUCCACAUGUUCAAGAGUGAUAAUCUUUUCUUCCACCAAUUCUCUAAUGAAAUGAUGACGAAUAUCAAUGUGUUUUGUUCUACUAUGCUGGAUUGGAUUUUUGGAAAUGUUGAUAGCACUCAGGUUGUCACAGAACAAUGUCAUGACAUCUUGUUUGACAUCAUAUUCCUUCAACAUUUGUUUCAUCCACAUUAAUUGGGUGCAACCACUUCCAGCGGCAAUGUACUCUGCCUCAGCUGUAGACAAGGAAACACAGUUUUGCUUUUUGCUGAACCAAGAAAUGAGAUUAUUUCCCAAGAAGAAACACCCCCCUGAGGUGCUUUUUCUAUCAUCUGCAUUUCCUGCCCAAUCUGCAUCACAAUAACCUAUCAACUUAGGAUCAGUGUUGUGAGCAUAAAAAAUACCAUAGUCAAUAGUUCCACUGAUGUACUUAAUGAUCCUCUUGACUUGUAGAAGAUGACUUUCCUUAGGUGCAGCUUGAUACCUAGCACAAACCCCAACUGAGAAGGCAAUAUCAGGUCUGCUAGCAAUGAGAUAUAGCAAACUUCCAAUCAUGCUUCUGUAUAAGCUUUGAUCAACAUCUACUCCAUUCUCAUCCUUAGUCAAUUUGACAUGAGUUGCUGCAGGAGUUCUCUUGUGUGUUGAAUUUUCCAGACCAAUUUUUUUAACUAAUUCCUUAGCAUACUUACUCUGAGAAAUGAACAUAGAGUCAUCCAUCUGUUUUACUUGCAAGCCCAGAAAAUAGUUUAGUUCACCUACCAUGCUCAUCUCAAACUCAAAUUUCAUUUGUUUGACAAAAUGUUCUACCAUCUGGUCUGACAUUCCGCCAAAGACAAUGUCAUCAACAUAUAUCUGCGCAAUCAUCAACUUUCCUUUGACACUCUUUACAAAUAAGGUCUUAUCAAUUCCACCUUUGUUGUAACCAUUGCUAGUUAGGAAUUCAGUAAGCCUUUCAUACCAAGCUCUUGGUGCCUGUUUUAAUCCAUACAGUGCCUUUCUCAACUUGUAAACAUGUUCUGGAUAAGUUGAGUCAGUGAACCCUUUUGGCUAUUCAACAUAGACUUCUUCAUUCAAAUAACCAUUCAAGAAAGCACUUUUAACAUCCAUUUGAAACAAUCGGAACUUUAGAAGACAUGCCACUCCAAGCAGAAGUCUGAUGGAUUCUAAUCUAGCAACUGGUGCAAAAGUUUCAUCAAAGUCCACUCCUUAAAUCUGAGUAUACCCUUGAGCUACUAGCCUGACCUUGUUUUUUGUGACGUUGCCACUUUCAUCUGACUUGUUCCUAAAAAUCCAUUUGGUACCUAUAACGUUUACACCAUCUGGUCUAGGCACUAAAUUCCACACAUCAUUUCUUUUAAACUGAGCCAAUUCUUCCUGCAUAGCAUUUAUCCAGUAUUCAUCUGUGAGGGCUUCCUUGACAUUCUUGGGUUAAAUUUUUUAGAUGAAACAACCAUUUGCAAUGAUUUCUCUGGACCUUGUAGUUACCCCUGUGUUAGGAUCUCCUAUGAUGUUUUCUUUAGAAUGAAUCUUUUGAAUUCUGAUAGAGGGUCCUUUGUUCUAUGGUGAUGUGCUUUCAUUUUCAUCUUCAGAUUCACUGUCUGAUGCUAUGUCAGUGACAUGUGGUCUGACAACGGACUGAGGUGGAAGAUCUUCUUCAAUAUCCUUUGUAACUUCAGUUUCUUCCAAUUUAUCAUCAACCACUACAUUUAUGGAUUCCAUCAUUGUCUUGGUGCGAGAGUUGUAUACUCUAUAUGCCCUACUGUUUGUAGAGUAUCCCAGAAAAAUGCCUUCAUCACUCUUUGGAUCCAUCUUUCUUCUUUGCUCUCGAUCAGCUAGUAUGUAACAUUUACUUCCAAAAACAUGAAAGUAUUUUACAGUAGGUUUUCUCCCUUUCCAUAACUCAUACAAAGUGGAAGUAGUUUCAUAUCUAAUUGUCACCCGAUUGUGAAUGUAACAAGCUGUAUUCAUUGCUUCAGCCCAGAAGUGAUAAGGAAGUUUCUUGGCAUGCAGCAUUUCUCUGGCAGAUUCAUGCAAUGUUCUAUUCUUCCUUUCUACCACUCCAUUUUGUUGAGGAGUAAUAGGUGCUGAGAACUCGUGACCUAUUCCUUCACUGGCACAAUAGUCUGAGAAUCUACUAUUUUCAAACUCCUUGCCAUGAUCACUUCUGAUUUUGACAAUGCCAUGACCCUUCUCUCUCUGGAGUUGUUGACAUAGUCCUUUGAACACAUCAAAAGUGUCUGAUUUUUCUGCAAUAAAAUUCACGCAGGUGUAUCUUGAAAAGUCAUCAACACAGACAAAAGCAUACCUUUUUCCUCCAAUACUUUCUACUUGCACUGGCCCCAUGAGAUCCAUGUGAAUAAGUUCCAGUAUUCUGGUUGUUGCCACAUGUUGCAUCUUCUUGUGAGAGGCUUUUGUUUGUUUUCCAACUUGGCAUUCCCCACAGAUUUUUCCUUCUUCUAUCUUCAAGAUUGGUAGACCUCUGAUAGCCUCCUUUGAGAUUAUCUUCCUCAUGCUCGUUAUAUUGAGAUGUCCAAGCUUUUGGUGCCAUAGCUUGACUUCCUCUUCCUUGGUUAUCAAACAUCUUGAGGACAUAGAUUUGUACUGUGAGAUCCACAUGUAGCAAUUAUCCUUUGACCUUGCACCUCUCAUGACAACUUCACCAUUUCCAUCUGUUACUUGACAUCCAGUUUUGCAGAAUGUAACAUCUAGAUCCAAGUCACAUAGCUGACUUAUGCUUAUCAGAUUUGCUGCCAGGCCUUCUACUAGCAAGACAUCAUCCAGCUCUGGAGAUCCACUACUAACAAGCUUUCCGGAUCCUUUGAUUUUUCCUUGAGCACCAUCACCAAAAGUAACAUUACUGGUGGAGUGUGGUUUUACAUCACCAAGAUAAUUCUUUACUCCAGUCAUAUGCAUGGAACACCCACUAUCAAAAUACCAAUCCUCUUUUGAAGAAGCUCUCAGAGAGGUAUAUUCAACUAGAGCAGAUGUGUUGAUCUUAGGCUUCCACUUCUUCUUCUUUAACUCAAUAGAGUUAAAUUUAGCUGAACUUCUUUUUGGAAACCCAUGUAGCCUGUAGCAAUAAGGUUUUAUGUUGCCAUACCUCCCGCAAUGGUGACAUUUCCAUCCGGUUUUGUUUCUUUUCUGUGAUUGAGGAUAGGAAUAUGGAAUCUGAGAAUGCACAUGUUUCACACCAUGUUGUGACAUCUGGCUUGACAUGUGAAAUUCAGUUUUCCUUUCAGCAGGUACAAACUAAUGAGUGACCUUCUUGUCAUCAUCUGGUGUAGAGUCACUCACAUAUCCUAGUCCUUUCACAUCCCAGGCGGUUUUUGCUGUUUCUAGCAUGAGAUCAAACAUAUCAGUUCCAUUAUUCAGCAUGCGUACAGAUUUAACCAAACCUUCCAAUUUGGAUUUCAAGAUAGAUGCUUCCUCCUGAAGAUCUUCAUUUAGAAUUAGGAGUUCUUGUUUUUCCUUCUCAAGCUUUGUGACAGUUUUGUCCAGUUUCCUACCAUAGUGCAAGCCUCAUGCCAUUUUUUAAAUAAGAGCUUGUAUGCAGCAGCAAGUUCUUCAUCUGAGAUCCCUUCAUCACUAGAGUCACUAUCAGUGUUGUAUUUUACUGUCAAUCCCAUUACUGGAUGUUCAUUUUCUUCCUCAGAAUCAUCAUCUGACCAUGUUGUCACCAUUCCUUUUGCUUGCCUUUUCAGAUAUGUUGCACAUUUUGUUCUGAUAUGACCAAAACCUUGGCAUUCAUGACAUUGUACCCCUUUUGCUUUUCUUGCUCUGUCUUCUUCUCUGUUCUUGGGAGCCAUUCAUGUGUCCUUGCUGGUUUCAGACCUGUUGUCAGUAACAUUUGGUCUAGAUCCUCUGUCAAAACUUCUCAUGACUUUGUUGAAUGUUCUCCCAAGCAAGGCUAGUGCUUCUUCCAGAUUUUCAUUUGUGUCUCCACCAUUUAGACUUCCUUUUCCCAGAUUUGACACAAAUGCCAUGCUCUUGUUCUUUUUCUCAGACCUAUCAUUGAUGGACAUUUCAAAGGUUUGUAAUGACCCAAUUAGUUCAUCCACUUUGAUGCUACUAAUGUCUUGUGCCUCAUCAAUAGCAGUGACCUUCAUGUCAAAUUUCUUAGGUAAAGACCUGAGGAUUUUUCUGACCAAUUUCUCAUCUGUCAUGGGUUCUCCUAGUGCAAAAGAUGCAUUUGCCAUAUCACGCACACACAUAUGAAACUCAGAGAUUGCUUCUUCCUCCUUCAUCUUGAGAUUUUCAAAUUGAGUAGUUAACAGUUGAAGUCUUGAUAAACGAACUCUGGCUGUACCUUCAUGAGCAACCUUGAGAAUCUCCCAUGCAUCCUUAGCAGUAGUACAAUUAUGAAUCAGUCUGAACAUGUUCUUGUCAACACCAUUGAAAAUAGCAUUAAGAGCCUUAGAGUUUGCAGCAGCUUCUUCAUCUUCAGUCUUGCUCCAAUCUACUUCAGGUUUGAGUUCAAUAGUUGUGGUUCCUUCCUCGGUUUGCACUGGAUGAGUCCACCCUUUGAGCACCGACUUGUACACCCUUCCAUCAUCAAUAGAUCUAAGAAAUGCAAUCAUGCGAGCCUUCCAGUAGUCAUAAUUUGUUCCAUCAAGCAUAGGUGGCCUGUGAAUAGAACCCACAUCCUUACCGUUGUCCAUGAUACCAGAAAAGUAAAUCCCUGGAGCUUACCCAAUCAGAACAGGGUGCCUGCUCUGAUGCCAAUUGAAAUUCUGGCACACGCGGACAGAUGUUCUACCAGAUGUCUAAGACAUCUUGUACAACAUAAUACAAAAUAGUUAAUUAAAUAUGCAAUAUAGAGAACAUAAACAUAAACAAGACACACAGGAUUGUUAACCCAGUUCGGUGCAAAAUCACCUACGUCUGGAGGGUUUUCACCCAAGAGAAAGAUAAUCCACUAUUCAGAGAAAUUGUACACAAAAGGUCUUAACUGAACUGCCCCAGUUCACAACCUUUUCUACCUAUCUCUACAAGUGUUUAUUACUUAGUCCUCCCCCUAAGUAUGAGAGCCCCUCUCACUUUCUCUCAAUCACUGCCACAGUGAUUCAAAAGCUCAACACAAGAGCAAAGACAGUUCUCAUGAUCAAACAACAAAAAAUCAACUCUCAGCAAAAGAAUCAAUACAUGAAUAUGCUGAGAGAACAACAAGUGUGAACACAGACAAGAGUAAACCCUAGUUUUACUCAACAGAAGCUCUCUCCCUAAACACUAGGUUUCGGUCUUCAUAUAUAGCAGUCAUCCAGGCCUUGUCUUCGAUGGGCUUGGACGAGCAAAGGUCCACACAACACUCAGGGAGUUACUAGGAAACAAAUCUGCAGAAAAGUCUUCAAUAAAAAGUUUCCUAUUCCAAAAAUAAAACUCUCACACACUCUCAGAUCAAAUCAUUGAAACCGAUUUGAUCACAUAGAAUAUAAUCCUUGAACGGCGCAUAGAAGCUUCCAGAAAUACCCUAGCUUGAUCACCAAGUAAUCAAAACGAAGCUUCUCAGAAAACCUAGCCAACUCAUUGCAGGUUUCGCAGGGACAGAUGUCACAGGCAAGAUGUUGUGACAUCGGGUCCGACAUGUUGGCCAAAAAAUUAACUUAGCUAAAACGCAGACAACAUAACAAAGGGACAACAAGUAUCAAUAGCUUGAAAGCUCUGGAAUUUCAAAUAGGACCAUACUCAACUUUGUGUAGCAACCUUAGUCUUUCUUAGGGACCACCUACCAUGUGCUUUACCUAGCCAACAUUAUAACCUUUUUCAAGUUUCAUUGAAUAAUGCAUUUUCAACUUUAGUUGCUCUUGAGUGAAUGAUUCCCAGAACCUAUGAACUUGCUUGUGUGCUCAGUGCACUAAACAAUUGUUUCAUGCUAGGAUGUUAGUUCUAAAUGCUUUUCAUAGUGGACUCUAAUUCUUCUUUGUCUAAGAGUGGACUGGGCGGGACCCUAGGGUCCCUCGCCCAGGAGCACCAGCUUAGGGCGACGAGCGGACCAGGGACUUGGGCCUCCUCCCAAAGGCCCAACUGGCCCAUUAGGAAGGGUUGAAGGCGCCAAGCCCAAUUCCACAUCUAUAAAUAGGGGAUGAAUAUCAAUUGUAAGGGACUCUUAGCUCAUUUGAGAAAUAACAAGAUUGAAAUUUAGUUACUCUCUCCCUCUAAAAACGGUUACGCUCUCAUUCUCUCUAGGAAUCUCACAUCACGUUCCUUACACUCUAGGUACUAUACCUCAUCUCAAUGUUCUUGGAUAGAACAUUUGGUACCGUCUGUGGGGAACGAUAGAUUUCGAUUCCCGGACUACGUGGAUUAUGAUUUGGCUGAGAGAAGUUCAAUUUUCCAUGCAAUUCUCUUUGGUUUCUUUAUUUUCGGUUAAAUUCUUGAUUCGCUCGUGACACUUGAUGGAAGCGCAACAUCGACGCAGUGAAAGAAGGAUGAAACACAAGCAUGAUCCGCGCCACGCGUAUGGAAGGCGGCGCGGUGAGGAGGCGGAGUCCUCAGUCUCCUUGUUGAAACCGUUAGAAGAAGGACCGCCAUCACCUCAGUCGUUGGCCGCUCGCAGGGAUUGGAGGUGGCUGAUUUGCGACGUCAAUAGUCGCCUGAAGCAGCAGGACAUGGAUGUCCGAAGAGCGAAUACAACAGCGAAGCCUUGGACAUUGCAAAGGAAAAGCUGUUGGAAAUCCUCGAGGGAGUGGAGAAACUCGUCUCCAAAAGGAAAGCUGACGUGCUUGGCCAGAUCGUGCGAAGCAGAAAAUCUUCGGAAACCAUGAGCGACACUAAUGAGUGGCAAACCGGGAGGUGAAUGGUUCGCUUAUCACUAGGCCAUGGGCCACAUCACAGAGGAAUGCCGCACGUGGGAAAGCUGAUAGCGGCGGGAAAACCUAUUAGAACACAAGGCGGUAAUGCUUUGAUACCUAAAGGAGUAAACACGAUCGCUGGAGGGUUUGGAGGAGGAGGAGUCACUAGUGCAGCUAGAAUGCGAUACGCCAGGGCGGUGAACGCAGUCACGGAGGUUCCUUUCGACUUUUCACACCCAGACAUUACCUUUUCAUCCGAUGACUUCUUUGGAGUAAAGCCACAUCUGGACGAUCCGAUUGUAAUCCUCCUUCGCAUCAACCAACUCAAUGUGCAACGAGUACUUUUGGAUUAAGGGAGUUCAGCGGACAUCAUUUACGGCGGAGCGUUUGAUCGGCUCGGUUUGAAUGAGGGAGACCUCACUCCUUAUGUAGGGACUCUGGUGGGAUUUGCGGGCGAGCAAGUAUGGGUGAGAGGCGUCCUUGACCUAGGACGCUGAAGGUGAAAUACUUAAUUCUAGGAGCGGAGGGAUCUUACAACAUGAUAAUUGGCAGAAACACCUUGAACCGAUUGUGCGCCGGGAUCUCGACGGUACAUUUGGCGGUUAAAUAUCCUUUGCCAAAUGGACGAAUUGGGAGAGUUGUUGUGGACCAGAAGACUGCAAGGGAGUGCUACUGCAACGCGGUAGAUCGGUACGGGAAAAGGAGCGCCUUGGUAGGACACCGAUGCAACGAGGUCGAGGCGCCGGAAGAAAACCUAGAUCCAAGGGGCGAAGGGCGGGUCAACAGGCCCACGCCAAUCGAGGAAACCAAGGAACUGAAAUUCGGCGAGAAAGUACUCAAAAUAGGGACCAGACUGACUGAGGUCCAAGAACAGAGAUUAUCAAAGCUAUUGGGCGAGAAUUUGGAUCUCUUUGCUUUGAGUCACAAGGACAUUCCAGGAAUAGACCCGAACUUCAUUUGUCACAGGCUGGCGCUGAAUCCCGGAAUUAAACCAGUGACCCAGACAAGCCGACGAAUGGGAGAUGAAAAGGAGAAAGCAAUCCAACAAGAGGUCAACAAAUUAGUGGCGGCAGACUUCAUCCGGGAAAUUAAGUAUCCUACUUGGCUGGCAAAUGUGGUGAUGGUGAAGAAGGCGAAUGGGAAAUGGAUAAUGUGUGUGGACUACACAGACCUGAACAAGGCAUGUCCAAAAGAUUCUUAGCCAUUACUAAGCAUAGACAAGCUAGUGGAUGGGGCGUCCGGAAAUGAGCUGCUGAGUUUGAUGGAUGCCUAUUCGGGAUAUCACCAAAUGAGCUGCACCCGUCGGAUGAAGAUAAAACGGCCUUCAUGACCGCCAGGGUAAAUUACUGUUAUCAGGCCAUGCCCUUUGGACUGAAGAAUGUGUAAGAUCAAGUUUUGAUCUAGUAGUACAACUCUAUGUUUUGAUGAUUACAAGUUAACCUUUUGAUAUGAACAAUUGUGGUACUCUAACGUGUUUUUCUGAGUGUGCUAUUUACAGGCUCUGACCUCAACUCAAUCUCACACAAAUCAGAAGCACUGUGUAUAAAGAGCAACCCAAGCAACGCUUUCGCAUUCACCAUGUUCAGAAUGAACAGUGGAAAAGCUUCAGAAGUUCUGAAGCUACACAAACUCUGAUGUGGACUCAGUCACUAGAAGCUCUGAAGAUCCAGAAGUUCUAACAACCAAGAAACACUGAAGGCUCAGAUGUUCUGAUGGUGUAGAAGACUCUGAAGAUCCAGAAGCUGAAUAGUGGAAACUCUGAUGUCCAGAAGCAAGAAACUCUGAAGACCAUGUACUUCCCUCUGAGUUCAGAAUCAGAAGAUACAACGGUCAGAGGAUCUGUGCUUUCCCUCUGACUCUGAUCAACCGGCUUCACAAGUUCCAAUAUGAAGCAUCCCCUGAUCAGAAGUCUCCUAGGUUUAAAGGUCAAGUCGCUAUCCAAGUACAAAAGCAACUGUACCUUCCUGACGACCUACCUAACAGUCUCAGACACAGCAGAAGCUGGAUUUUCCAGAACUGCCCUCCAACGGUAGCAUUUCCCAUGCAACGCUCAACCCUAAUCCUUGGAGUAUAUAAAGAGGCUGAAGACUGAAAGAAACGGCUAGAAGCAUUCACAUACGCGCAAGACAAACUUAAAUUCUUCUAAGCUUUCUUUCAUCUGAAAUUCAUUGAGUUUACUAUUAGCUUUUUAGAAGCAAAUCUCUUGUAAACAAUUCUUUGAUAAACAGUUUGUUUAGUUCCUUUAGGAGAUCAAGGUUGAUCGGAUCCUAGAGAAGACUAAGAGAGUGAAUCUUAGUGUGAGCUAAGUCAGUGUAAUUGUUAGUCACUUGUAGGUUUCAAGUGCAGUUGUAACUCUUACCUGAUUAGUGGAUUGCCUUCAUUCUAAGAAGGAAGAAAUCACCUUAACGGGUGGACUGGAGUAGCUUGAGUGAUUUAUCAAGUGAACCAGGAUAAAAUCCUUGUGUGCUUUUCUAUCUCUUAUCUUUAGCACUUAAGUUCUCGAAAGAUUUGUCAAAAUCUUUAAGGUGGAAGUUUUAUACUGAAAACGUUAUUCAAACCCCCCCUUUCUACCGUUUUUCAUACCUUCAAUUGGUAUCAGAGCGCAAGUUCUGAUUACCACACCUAACAGUGUUCAGUGAUCCGGGCCGGUGUGAAAAACAAUGGCUGCCACCACCAGUGAAACUCAAAGAGAUGGUUACAAUGCAAAGCCUCCUAUGUUCGACGGUCAAAGGUUCGAAUAUUGGAAAGAUAGACUGGAAAGUUUCUUUCUGGGUUUCGAUGCAGAUCUCUGGGAUAUUAUUGUGGAUGGCUACGAGCGUCCAGUUGAUGCAGAUGGCAAGAAGAUCCCAAGGUCAGAGAUGACUACAGAUCAAAAGAAGCUGUACUCACAACAUCACAAAGCAAGAGCAAUUCUUCUAAGUGCUAUUUCCUAUGAAGAGUACCAGAAGAUUACAGAUCGUGAGUUUGCGAAAGGCAUUUUCGAAUCUCUGAAGAUGUCUCAUGAAGGAAACAAGAAAGUCAAAGAAUCAAAGGCAUUGUCUUUGAUCCAAAAGUAUGAAUCCUUCAUCAUGGAGCCAAAUAAGUCCAUUGAAGAAAUGUUCUCCAGAUUUCAGCUGCUUGUAGCUGGCAUACGACCUCUCAACAAGAGCUACACAACAAAAGAUCAUGUCAUAAGGGUCAUCAGGUGUCUUCCUGAAAGUUGGAUGCCUUUAGUGACUUCAAUAGAGCUCACGAGAGACGUUGAGAAUAUGAGUUUAGAAGAACUCAUCAGCAUUUUGAAAUGCCAUGAGCUGAAGCGCUCAGAGAUGCAAGAUCUGAAGAAAAAGUCCAUAGCCUUGAAAUCUAAAUCUGAAAAGGCUAAGGUUGAGAAGUCAAAAGCUCUUCAAGCUGAAGAAGAGGAAUCUGAAGAAGCAUCAGAAGAUUCUGAUGAAGAUGAGCUGACUCUGAUCUCCAAGAGACUCAAUCGCAUCUGGAAGCACCGGCAGAGCAAAUACAAAGGCUCUGGAAAGGCAAAAGGAAAGUCUGAAUCCUCAGGUCAGAAGAAGUCCUCACUUAAGGAAGUCACAUGCUUUGAGUGCAAAGAAUCAGGGCACUACAAAAGUGACUGUCCAAGAUUGAAGAAGGACAAGAAGCCAAAGAAGCACUUCAAGACAAAGAAGAGUCUGAUGGUGACAUUUGAUGAAUCAGAGUCAGAUGAUGUUGACUCUGAUGGUGAAGUCCAAGGACUCAUGGCCAUUGUCAAAGACAAGGAAGCAGAGUCAAAGGGAGAUGUUGACUCUGACUCAGAAUCAGAAGGAAAUCCUAACUCAGACGAUGAAAAUGAGGUAUUCGCUUCUUUCUCUACCUUUGAACUGAAACCUGCAUUGUCUGAUAUUAUGGAUAAGUAUAACUCCUUAUUGUCUAAGCAUAAGAAGCUGAAAAAGAACUUAUCUGCUGUUUCCAAGACUCCUUCUGAACAUGAGAAAAUUAUUUCUGAUUUGAAAAAUGAUAAUCAUGCCUUGAUCAAUUCUAACUCUGUGCUUAAGAACCAGAUUGCUAAGUUAGAAGAAAUUGUUGCCUGUGAUGCCUCUGAUUGUAGAAAUGAAUCUAAGUAUGAAAAGUCUUUUCAAAGAUUCCUAGCUAAAAGCGUGGAUAGAAGAUUAAUGGCUUCAAUGAUCUAUGGCGUAAGCAGAAAUGGAAUGCAUGGCAUUGGCUAUUCUAAACCAAUUAGAAAUGAGCCCUCUGUGUCUAAAGCUAAAUCCUUGUAUGAAUGCUUUGUUCCCUCUGGUACCAUAUUGCCUGAUCCUGUUCCUGCUAAAGUUGCUAAAAACCCUCUUAAAAAGGGAUCUUUCUCUAUGACUAAAUAUCAUGCAAAUAUUCCUUUAAAAUAUCAUGUUGAGACACCCAAGGUGAUCAGAACCUCUGGGGUAACUAACAAGAGAGGACCCAGAAAGUGGGUACCUAAGGACAAGAUUAUCUAUGCUGCAGAUAUCCUUGAUAGCUCCACUGAAACACCAAUCAUGGUAUCUGGACAGUGGAUGCUCGUGUCACAUGACGGGAGAAAGGCGUAUGUUUCGAGAGCUGAAACUUAAGCCUGGAGGCGAAGUUGGCUUUGGAGGAAAUGAAAAGGGUAAAAUUGUUGGUACUGGUACUAUUUGUGUAGAUAGUAGUCCAUGCAUUGAUAAUGUGUUAUUGGUAGACGGCUUAACACAUAACUUAUUGUCUAUAAGCCAAUUAGCUGACAAGGGUUAUGAUGUUAUAUUCAAUCAAAAGUCCUGCCGGGCUGUAAGUCAAAUCGAUGGCUCUGUUCUGUUUAACAGCAAGAGGAAGAACAACAUUUAUAAGAUCAGAUUAUCUGAGUUGGAGGCUCAGAAUGUGAAGUGCCUUCUGUCUGUUAAUGAAGAGCAGUGGUUAUGGCAUAGACGGUUAGGGCAUGCCAGUAUGAGAAAGAUUUCUCAGCUGAGCAAGCUAAACCUUGUUAGGGGCUUACCCAAUCUGAAGUUCGCUUCAGACGCUCUUUGUGAAGCAUGUCAGAAAGGAAAAUUCACAAAAGUCCCUUUCAAGGCAAAGAAUGUUGUCUCAACCUCAAGGCCGUUAGAACUUCUGCAUAUCGACCUUUUUGGACCAGUGAAAACUGAGUCUAUAGGUGGCAAGAGAUAUGGGAUGGUUAUCGUUGAUGACUAUAGCCGCUGGACAUGGGUAAAGUUUCUAACCCGCAAGGAUGAGUCUCAUGCUGUGUUCUCUACCUUCAUUGCUCAAGUGCAAAACGAGAAGGCUUGUAGGAUUGUGCGUGUCAGAAGUGACCAUGGUGGAGAGUUUGAGAAUGACAAUUUUGAGAGUCUGUUUGAUUCCUAUGGAAUUGCACAUGAUUUCUCUUGUCCCAGAACUCCUCAACAAAAUGGUGUUGUUGAAAGGAAGAACAGAACUCUUCAGGAGAUGGCUAGAACCAUGCUCCAAGAAACUGGCAUGGCUAAGCACUUUUGGGCAGAGGCAGUAAAUACAGCAUGUUACAUUCAGAACAGAAUCUCUGUGAGACCAAUUCUGAAUAAGACUCCUUAUGAAUUGUGGAAGAACAUAAAACCCAACAUUUCUUAUUUUCAUCCUUUUGGCUGUGUUUGUUAUGUUCUCAAUACUAAGGAUAGAUUGCAUAAAUUUGAUGCUAAGUCUUCUAAAUGUCUAUUACUUGGUUAUUCUGAGAGAUCUAAAGGUUUUAGAUUUUAUAAUACUGAUGCUAAGACUAUUGAAGAAUCUAUUCAUGUUAGAUUUGACGAUAAGCUUGACUCUGACCAGUCAAAGCUAGUUGAAAAGUUUGCAGAUUUAAGCAUUAAUGUUUCUGACAAAGGCAAAGCUCCAGAGGAAGCUGAGCCAGAGGAAGAUGAACCAGAGGAAGAAGCUGGUCCCUCUAACUCACAAACUCUGAAGAAGAGCAGAAUCACUGCAGCUCACCCUAAGGAAUUGAUUCUGGGCAACAAAGACGAACCAGUCAGAACCAGAUCUGCCUUCAGACCCUCUGAAGAGACCUUGCUCAGUCUGAAAGGAUUGGUGUCCUUAAUUGAACCCAAGUCCAUAGAUGAAGCUCUUCAGGACAAGGAUUGGAUUCUGGCCAUGGAAGAAGAAUUGAAUCAAUUCUCCAAGAACGAUGUUUGGAGCUUAGUGAAGAAGCCUGAGAGUGUCCAUGUUAUUGGAACGAAAUGGGUAUUCAGAAACAAGCUGAAUGAGAAAGGAGAUGUAGUCAGAAACAAGGCAAGGCUAGUUGCUCAAGGCUACAGCCAGCAGGAAGGAAUAGACUACACUGAAACAUUUGCUCCAGUAGCAAGACUGGAGGCAAUCAGACUGUUGAUCUCUUUUUCAGUAAAUCACAACAUAGUUCUACAUCAGAUGGACGUGAAGAGUGCCUUCCUAAAUGGUUAUAUUUCAGAGGAAGUCUAUGUUCAUCAACCCCCAGGUUUUGAAGAUGAGAAGAAACCAGACCAUGUGUUCAAAUUGAAGAAAUCACUCUACGGUCUGAAGCAAGCUCCCAGAGCAUGGUAUGAGAGACUCAGCUCAUUCCUUCUGGAGAAUGAGUUUGUAAGGGGUAAAGUAGAUACAACUCUUUUUUGCAAGACUUAUAAAGAUGAUAUCUUAAUUGUGCAAAUUUAUGUUGAUGAUAUUAUAUUUGGUUCUGCUAAUCAAUCUCUAUGCAAAGAAUUUUCUGAGAUGAUGCAGGCUGAAUUUGAGAUGAGUAUGAUGGGAGAAUUAAAGUACUUUCUGGGAAUACAAGUUGAUCAAACACCAGAAGGAACAUAUAUCCAUCAGAGCAAGUACACUAAAGAACUUCUGAAGAAGUUCAAUAUGCUGGAAUCUACAGUGGCCAAGUCUCCAAUGCAUCCUACAUGCAUUCUGGAGAAAGAAGAUAAAAGUGGUAAAGUAUGUCAGAAGCUCUAUCGUGGCAUGAUAGGUUCACUUCUAUACUUAACUGCAUCUAGGCCAGACAUACUAUUUAGUGUUCAUUUAUGUGCUCGUUUCCAAUCAGAUCCAAGGGAAACCCACUUAACUGCUGUUAAGAGGAUCCUAAGGUAUCUGAAAGGCACCACUAACCUUGGCUUGAUGUAUAAGAAAACAUCAGAGUAUAAGCUUUCAGGUUACUGUGAUGCUGAUUAUGCUGGAGAUAGAACAGAGAGAAAAAGUACUUCUGGAAAUUGUCAAUUUCUGGGAAGCAAUCUAGUCUCAUGGGCAAGCAAGAGGCAAUCAACCAUUGCACUAUCAACUGCAGAGGCAGAAUAUAUCUCAGCAGCAAUAUGCAGCACUCAGAUGCUCUGGAUGAAACAUCAGCUGGAAGAUUAUCAGAUCCUUGAGAGCAAUAUCCCAAUCUAUUGUGAUAACACUGCUGCAAUCUCAUUGAGUAAGAAUCCUAUCUUGCAUUCAAGGGCAAAGCACAUUGAGGUAAAGUAUCACUUUAUUAGAGAUUAUGUACAGAAGGGCGUACUUCUUCUGAAGUUUGUUGAUACUGACCAUCAAUGGGCAGAUAUCUUUACAAAGCCCUUAGCAGAGGAUAGAUUUAAUUUUAUUCUGAAAAAUCGAAACAUGGACUUUUGUCCAGAGUGAAGAUGGAUCAGAACCUCUGACUAUGAUACUUCUUGAUCAGAAGAUGUCUAGUCCAGAAGGUAACUCAAUCAGAGUGUGUGUACCCACUGGUACUGACUCUGAAGCUGAGACAGCAACACGUGUGUCAGUAUUUCUGAUGCAUAGUUCCUUGUGCCCGUGUGACAGUCUGUUAUGAUUGCGUGUAGAUGUGCUUCUCUCCUGUGUGUGAUUUGUGUAUUUACUGUUACUAUCUAUCUUUAAUUUUCAACCGUUGAUCUUAAAGUGCCUUUUAAAUCAACAACGGUUAUUUGUUAAAACCCACUAUACACACACGAUCUCUUUCACUUCCGGUUUUUACUCUCGCUCUCUCUGCUUUUCAAAAACCGCUUAUCCUCGAUUUCUCUCUCGAUCUCUCUUCAUCCUUCAACCUUCAUCUUCUACCUCAAACCUUCAACCGCUUCAAAAAUGGUGAGUCAAACCAGAAGAGCUACUGCAGAUGCAACCCAGUUCCCUCACAUGGUAGUUGGUCUAGCAACGGGUCAAAGGGGCCCUGAGAAUCCGACACAAGAUCAAGGUCACGCUCAAGAGCAGACUAUUCCAAUUGCAGAACGGGGCUGUGCCGUUCACUGCGUAUAUGCUCCUGAGGAACUUCAAGUCCUGGCAGAAUGGAGAUUCGACCUCGACAACCUGGCUACAAAUGGGUAUGAUCUUCGUCCUGAAGUCCAAAUUCAAGGUUGGGGAAAUUACUUCAACAGACUUCGAGGACCGGUGUAUGAGAAACUGGUCAAGGAAUUCUGGAAGCACGCCGACUGCGAUGAUACUCAGGUGGUAUCUCACAUUCUUGGAAGAAAGAUCAUCAUCACAGAGAAGUCCUUCGUGAACUUGCUGGGUGCAGACACUGCUUUUGGGUAUCGUUUCCAACUCACGGAAUCGAAGCUGAAACCCAGCACCAAGGAUACAAUCAACCAGGCCCUGUACACCAAUUACAAACCGGGCAAGACGAAUUACAAGGUGAUGGACCUUCAUCCCAAGCUCAGGAUCUGGCACAAAAUUCUGCUUCACUGCAUAAACCAGAGACCAAAGGGCAGUUCCCCAGACUACAUCAACUUCAACCAGAAGGUGAUGUUGUUCUUCAUCCAAGACCAGAAGAAGAUCUGCCUUCCCUACUUCCUGUUCUCCUACUUGAAGGAAUGCAUCCGGAAGUCUCGUACCACUGCCUCCAUCAAGUCAGCGAUCAAGUAUAUUCCCUUCGGGAGACUUUUGUCUGAUCUCUUCAUUGAGAGUGGCCUCGUUCAAGAUCUGAUAAAUGCUGGAUGCACAGAGGAUCUGAGCACCAUUGUCAGUGAUGUCUUCACGGCAAACUCUCUAAAGAAGAUGGGCCUAAUCAAGAAGAAGAUUGCUCCUGCCCAUGAAGACACAUCUUCUGAGAUCAGAAGUAGAAGGAUGCCUCUGAAUGACUACCCUCUGUGGACUCAGGCAGACAAUCCUGACGCCAUUAGGUGCUAUGUUGAAGACCUAAGGGCUCAAGGAUUCGAAAUUGAUCUCGAUGACUUCUUCAGCAGACUGCCGCCAGCUCCAGAGUUUCCUUCUCCUCCCAAGAAGAAAGCUCAGAGGAAGAUGAUCCUAGAAGAAUCUUCUGAGGAAUCAGAUGUCCCUCUGAUCAAAAAGAAGAAGGCUGGUCAAUCCAAGAGAAAGCAGGAUGACACCAGCAAGCCUGAUGAUGGUGAUGAUGGUGAUAAUGAGGAUGGUCCUCCUAAGAAGAAGAAGAAGCAGGUCAGAAUCGUGGUGAAGCCUACUCGGGUGGAACCAGCUGCUGAAGUGGUCAGAAGGACUGAACCUCCUGCCAGAGUGACAAGAUCAUCAGCACAUUCAAGUAAGUCUGCAAUUGCUUCUGAUGAUGAUUUGAAUUUAUUUGAUGCACUCCCCAUAUCUGCCAUGCUCAAACACUCUUCAAAUCCCCUCACUCCUAUUCCUGAAUCCCAACCAGCUGCACAAACCACCUCUUCACCACAUUCCCCAAGGUCUUCGUUCUUUCAACCUUCCCCUACUGAAGCACCUCUCUGGACUUUGCUCCAGAACCAACCCUCUAGGUCAGAAGAACCUACCUCUCCCAUUACCAUUCAGUACAACCCAUUAGCUUCUGAACCCAUCAUUCAUGAACAACCAGAGCCUACCCACACAGAACCUGGACCCAGAACCUCUGAUCACUCUGUUCCAAGAGCAUCAGAACGACUGGCUCCCAGACCUACGGAUACAGACUCUUCCACAGCCUUUACCCCUGUAUCCUUCCCAACCAAUGUUGCUGACUCUUCUCCCUCCAAUAACUCUGAAUCCAUUAGAAAAUUCAUGGAGGUCAGAAAAGAAAAGGUGUCUACUCUAGAAGAGUAUUAUCUCACUUGUCCAAGCCCUAGGAGAUAUCCUGGCCCUAGACCUGAACGUCUAGUUGACCCAGAUGAACCUAUCUUGGCCAAUCCUUUACAAGAGGCAGACCCUUUGGCUCAACAAGCUCACCCUGCCCCUGACCAACAAGAGCCUAUUCAACCAGAACCUGAACCAGAACAAUCUGUGUCUAACCAAUCCUCGGUUAGAUCACCUCAUCCUCUGGUUGAAACUUCAGAACCUCACCUUGGAACCUCUGAACCCAAUACUCAAAUGCUUAACAUUGGUUCUCCACAAGGUGCCUCUGAAGCUCACAGCAGCAAUCACCCAGCCUCUCCUGAAACCAACCUCUCCAUAAUUCCUUAUACUCACCUCCGACCCACAUCUCUCUCUGCGUGCAUCAAUAUUUUCUAUCAUGAAGCCUCUUUGAGGCUACGCAAUGUGCACGGUCAGACUGACCUAAGUGAGAAUGCUGAACGUGUGGCUGAUGAGUGGAACACUCUGGGCACUUGGCUGGUGGCUCAAGUUCCAAUUAUGAUGCAGCUCCUGCAUGCAGAGGGAAGUCAGAGGAUUGAGGCUGCAAAGCAAAGGUUUGCUCGAAGGGUGGCUCUUCAUGAACAAGAACAGAGACAUAAGCUUCUUGAAGCUAUUGAAGAAGCCAAGAGAAAGAAAGCUCAAGCAGAAGAAGCUGCACGUCAAGCAGCAGCUCAAGCUGAACAAGCCAGAUUAGAGGCAGAACGACUUGAAGCUGAGGCUGAAGCUCUUAGAUGCCAAGCACUUGCACCAGUAGUGUUUACUCCUGCUGCUUCUGCUUCCAUUCCAGAUCCUCAAGCUGCUCAGAAUGUUCCUUCCGGUUCUACUCAGUCAAGCUCGUCCAGACUCGACAUCAUGGAACAGCGUCUUGACACUCAUGAAUCCAUGCUAAUUGAAAUGAAGCACAUGAUGAUGGAACUUCUGCGUCGAACUGAUAAACCUUAGUUUUAGGAUCUCUUCGUUUUUCUUUUUCUUUAACGUUGUUUUAUUUUUGUUAACUUCUGUUUCUUUUUAUUUAAUUAUUCUACUUUAUUCGUUUGUGAUUAUCUAUGCAUAUCUAUAUAUAUUUGUGUCACAUAUGUUUGCAAAAAAAUCUUUUUAUUCAUAAUAUCUUUAUGUUUACAUCAUACAUUCUUUCCCUAAAAGUCUAGAAUGGAGGAUCCCUCCUCAUUCUUCUGCACUCCUGGCGCUGCUCUGACCUAUCCUUCUCCAGACGCUCCAGUGCAUGCUGGAUGUUGUUGAGCCUGUCCUUUAGCUCAUCCCUCUCCAGAAUCUCUUCUGCGGUCUUGAGCUUCUCUUCCAAACUCUCUUUUUCUUCCAGCAGCUUGAGUUCAAGCCGGCUGAGUUCUUGCACCUCCUCCACGAAGGCAAGAAAUUCCCUCAGGUCUCUCUUCAACUCUGGACGCAGGUCCUCCUCCAGCAGUGUCCGUGUCAGCUCCGCGAUGGUCGUUGUACCCUCUGGAUGCCUGAUGUUAAGGAACAAGUCCUCCUCGAAGGCCUUCUUCCUCAGCUCUUCUAGUGCUACGAUGUAUGAUGCCAUUUUUUUUCCUUACUGAAAAUUGUUCGAGGUGUGAAGCUUACCUCUCUCUCCAACGCUUUAUAUAGGCUUCACUUUCUCUCUGAAAGUUAAUGCUCCUACAGUUUCUCGAGGUUAAGUUCUUGGUAACUGACCCUUCUCUUUACUCCCUUGACCGGUGGUAAACGUUCUUCUCUUGCAUUAACUCUUCUAUUUAUUUCGCCUAACUCUGAUUCUUGCAUCGUUUUCAUUUUCUUUAAACUUAGACCUUCUCUAAGGGGGAGUACCUUGUGCUACAAGCUAAGUUUUUCACACCCCAAGCUUUUUGCUUAUGACAAAAAGGGGGAGUAAACCCAGUUUUUGAUGUGUAAGAUGUGUUAGUGUGAUUUAUUUUUUCUUUUGGAGAAUUUAAGAGUUCCACCUUCAUGACCAUAGAUGUGUCACUGGGCAAAUACAAGGAAUACAUUUCACUUCUUCUGAAGUGAUUCUAAGUUGACUCUGAUACCCAAGACUCUGAUACCUUGUCCGUGACUCUGAUUACUUAUGCGCUCUGAUUACUCGAUUUUCAUCUAUGUCAUAAGUUUUUCACUCUGAACUCUUAUAUCAUUUAGCUCAGAAUCUAGACUUUACUAACGUUUUCAUCAAGUAUUAGAUUAGGGGGAGCUAAGCUCAGAAUCAAGCAGUGACUUGAAUUCAGAAUGAGCAAGAUAAACUAUUCACAUCAGGAUAAGUCUUAUUCUAUAUCUCUAAACUCUGAGUGAAUUCAGUUUAAUGUUUAAGAAUUGUUCAUCAAAAAUCUUAGUUUUGUCAUCAUCAAAAAGGGGGAGAUUGUAAGAUCAAGUUUUGAUCUAGUAGUACAACUCUAUGUUUUGAUGAUUACAAGUUAACCUUUUGAUAUGAACAAUUGUGGUACUCUAACGUGUUUUUCUGAGUGUGCUAUUUACAGGCUCUGACCUCAACUCAAUCUCACACAAAUCAGAAGCACUGUGUAUAAAGAGCAACCCAAGCAACGCUUUCGUAUUCACCAUGUUCAGAAUGAACAGUGGAAAAGCUUCAGAAGUUCUGAAGCUACACAAACUCUGAUGUGGACUCAGUCACUAGAAGCUCUGAAGAUCCAGAAGUUCUAACAACCAAGAAACACUGAAGGCUCAGAUGUUCUGAUGGUGUAGAAGACUCUGAAGAUCCAGAAGCUGAAUAGUGGAAACUCUGAUGUCCAGAAGCAAGAAACUCUGAAGACCAUGUACUUCCCUCUGAGUUCAGAAUCAGAAGAUACAACGGUCAGAGGAUCUGUGCUUUCCCUCUGACUCUGAUCAACCGGCUUCACAAGUUCCAAUAUGAAGCAUCCCCUGAUCAGAAGUCUCCUAGGUUUAAAGGUCAAGUCGCUAUCCAAGUACAAAAGCAACUGUACCUUCCUGACGACCUACCUAACAGUCUCAAACACAGCAGAAGCUGGAUUUUCCAGAACUGCCCUCCAACGGUAGCAUUUCCCAUGCAACGCUCAACCCUAAUCCUUGGAGUAUAUAAAGAGGCUAAAGACUGAAAGAAACGGCUAGAAGCAUUCACAUACGCGCAAGACAAACUUAAAUUCUUCUAAGCUUUCUUUCAUCUGAAAUUCAUUGAGUUUACUAUUAGCUUUUUAGAAGCAAAUCUCUUGUAAACAAUUCUUUGAUAAACAGUUUGUUUAGUUCCUUUAGGAGAUCAAGGUUGAUCGGAUCCUAGAGAAGACUAAGAGAGUGAAUCUUAGUGUGAGCUAAGUCAGUGUAAUUGUUAGUCACUUGUAGGUUUCAAGUGCAGUUGUAACUCUUACCUGAUUAGUGGAUUGCCUUCAUUCUAAGAAGGAAGAAAUCACCUUAACGGGUGGACUGGAGUAGCUUGAGUGAUUUAUCAAGUGAACCAGGAUAAAAUCCUUGUGUGCUUUUCUAUCUCUUAUCUUUAGCACUUAAGUUCUCGAAAGAUUUGUCAAAAUCUUUAAGGUGGAAGUUUUAUACUGAAAAAGUUAUUCAAACCCCCCCUUUCUACCGUUUUUCAUACCUUCAGAAUGCGGGGGCGACGUAUCAGCGAUUGAUGGAUAGGGUAUUUGAGGGCCAAGUAGGAAGGAACAUGGAGGUCUACGUUGAUGAUAUGAUCGUAAAUUCAGUUUUGGGAUCAAGCCAUCACGAGGAUUUAACAGAAGCUUUCGACAGGCUCCAAAAGCAUAACAUGAGACUCAAUCCGGAGAAGUGUUCUUUUGGUAUACCGGGCGGGAAGUUCUUAGGCUUCAUGAUCACGUCGAAAGGAAUCGAGAUCAUUCCAGAUAAGUGCAAGGCGAUCCAGGAAAUGAAAAGCCCAAGUAGUGUGAAGGAGGUGCAGCGCCUGACGGGGCGGAUUGCGGCCCUAUCCAGGUUUUUCCCCCAUUCGGGCGACAAAUCAACCCCGUUCUUCAAAUGCCUCAAGAAGAACACGGUGUUUGAAUGGAGUUCAGAAUGCGAAGAAGCCUUUAACUGCCUGAAAGAGAUGUUGUCCGCACCACCCGUUCUAUCGAAACCUGUCCAGGGUCUUCCUUUGCACUUGUAUUUUUCUGUCAGUGAUCGUGCGAUCAGCUCGGUAAUCCUCCAGGAGGUAUACGGAGAACAAAAAAUAGUUUACUUUGUAAGCCAUACACUUCAAGGGGCGGAGGCGGCGCUCGCCGUCCUCGUUACCGCCAGACGCUUAAGACCUUACUUUCAAAGCUUUCAGGUAAAAAUAAAGACUGAUCUUCCUUUGAGACAGGUGUUGCAGAAGCCAGAUUUGUCAGGAAGACUUGUCGCAUGGUCAAUUGAGUUAUCAGAAUACGGUUUGCAAUACGACAAAAGGGGGAAGGUCGGUGCGCAGACUUUAGCUGAUUUUGUGGUUGAGUUAACGCUAGAAGACGGUGAGAAGGUGAGCACGCAAUGGACGUUGUUUGUUGAUGGGUCAUCGAACGACAAUGGAAGUGGAGCAGGGGUCACGCUACAAGGGCCUGGGGAGUUAGUAUUAGAGCAGUCCCUCAGAUUUCAAUUUAAAGCCAGUAAUAAUCAGGCAGAGUAUGAGGCUCUGAUCGCAGGUUUGAAGUUGGCAAUUGAGGUGCAAAUCGAAAGUUUGCUGGUUAGAACGGACUCGCUGCUUGUGGCAAACCAAGUAAAUGGGGAAUUUCAGGUGAAGGAACCGGCCUUGAUAAAAUAUCUGGAGCGUGUGCGGCUGCUGAUGGGUCGAUUGCAAGAGAUUGUAGUUGAAUUCGUGCCAAGGGCGCAGAAUCAAAGGGCGGACGCCCUAGCAAAAUUGGCAAGCACUCGGAAACCUGGAAACAAUCGAAGUGUGAUCCAAGAGACGCUCGCCAAUCCUAGCAUAGAAGGAGAGUUGGUAGCCUCAGUUGACCGCCAAAAAACUUGGAUGGACCCCAUCGUAGGUAUCUUGGCGGGAGAGCCAAGUGAGGUGGUGAAGUACUCAAAGGAAUAAAGAAGGGAGGCGGGACACUACACGUUACUCGACGGUGUAAUCUAUCGACGAGGAUUUAGCUCGCCCUUCCUGAGAUGUCUACCGCCUGGGAAAUACGAUGAUGUUAUGGCAGAGGUUCACGGGGGGGGGGGGGGGGGGGUUUGCGCUAGCCACAUCGGAGCAAGGUCGUUGGCAAGCAAAGUCCUCAGAGCGGGUUUUUACUGGCCCACGAUAAGAUAAGACUGUGCGGAAUUCAUGAAGAAAUGCGAAAAGUGUCAAGUAUUUGCAGACUUUCCCAGAGCCCCGCCGGAGCAAUUGGCCACGAUCAGCUCCCCAUGGCCCUUCGCCAUGUGGGGAGUUGACCUCGUCGGGCCUUUUCCCACUGCCAGGUCACAAAUGAAGUUCAUCCUCGUGGCGGUGGACUACUUCACCAAAUGGGUGGAGGCCUGAUGACCCUACUUUAGUAGUGUUUUUAAGGUCAUUUCUUUGUGUGUUCUGAGUCUUUUUGUUGAGUCUCAUGUAGUGUUUCAUGCAUUCUCAUGCAUUUUUAUCUUUUCUUUAGUCUUUAUUUUGCUUUGGUAAUUUAGUAGUUUUAUAGGGAGUUUUCUUGCAUUUUGAGUAGAGUUUAGGGCUUGCAUGGUUUUCUUGAAGGAUCUCUUGUGCUAAUAAGCUCUUUGAGCUUCUAGAAUUUUCCUUGGCUUGUUGUUUAAGUUUCAGAUCAGGAACUGAAGAAGGAAGAAGGCCAAUAAGCAUGGAAUUGAUGGAAAACUUAAAGGGGAUUGAAAAGAGGAGUUUCAGUAGCCAAAAAGCCCUUUUCAGGCGAGCUUAAGCGCCUAGGCGCUGGGGGAUGGGCGCCUAGGCGUCAAUUGGGUCCAGAGAGCAUGUUUUUGCAUGCAAUUGGCACUCAGGCGCUCUGAAUUGGCGCCUGAGCGCCCAGACUCGACCCGUUUGCCUAUAAAUAGGCUUUUUGUCAUUCCUUUUGUACCUUUUGUCAUUUUUAUCAUUUUUCUCAUAAGUUAGAAGAGAGAGCUUGAGUUCUGAAGCUUUGGGAGCUUUCCCUAGGUCUUAUGUUCCAGGUUUUAUCUUAAUUUUCUAGCAUGGAUUCCAUAGCCAUGCUUGGCUAAAACCCCUUUUGCUUUGGGUUCUUUGUAAGACUUUGAAUGUUUUAGCUUUCAAUCCUUUUCUAUUCAUGAAGUUCUGAGUAAACCCUUGAAUCUCACUUCUAUGCUUUUUCUUCCAAGCUUGAAUGCAUGCUAGCUUUAUGCUUUUCUAUAAUCAUAACGAUAGUUUGUUAUAGAAUUGGGACUUGUUGUGAGAUUACUCCUUCUAUACUUGCUGCUAGGAAUAGAGGAAGGGUUGGGGUUUGUUGGCCUGAUUUGUAUGCUUAGUGCUUCUAGCAAUUGUUUAGGUUAUCAAGGAAUUGAAUCUAUCUUUUGAUUAGGAAGGGUUUUCUUUGCGAGGCAUCGAAAGAUAACUAACUAGGCUAGAACAUCAAGGAGAGACUCAGGAUUAAUUGAAUAGGAGGGUUUGCUAAAACUGAAUUAGUUGAACAAGAACCCAAGGCAAUCUCAUCUCUGUUUUCAAUUCCUUUAUUACUUGGCUACUUGUCUUUUUACAAACUCAAGAAUCAACCAAUCAUUAAAACUGAAUUUUACUUGCUUUUCAACCUUGAACUUGAAUCUUAAACUGAAUUCACAUUCCAAUUCCCUGUGGUUCGAUAAAUUAAAACCCGGAGAUAUCUGUGCACUUUCAGAUUGACCAACAAGUUUUUGGCGCCGUUGCCGGGGAGUUGUUUUGCGAUUUUUUGGUUUAAGUUUUAAGUUUUCACUUGUCUAGAAUUGGUGCUACUAAUCUUUCUCUGUUGAGUGUCUUUCGUAGGUUGCUUUCAAGAGAGGCACCACCAUGGGUGGCCGCAUGACAGAGGAGGAGAUGCAAGCCCACAUUGAGGCAAGGAUCCAAGAGGGUAUCACCCUCCGCUUACGUGAACAAGAAGUUGAGAAUGCCAACCGAACUCUUCGGGAACUAACUUCGGGGUCCAUGAGCUUUGACUAUCCCGGAAGUAUUGUUAUUCCCGAAGGAGUGGGGAACUUUGAAUUAAGACCGGCAUUCAUCAACAUGGUGAGCCAAAGCCAAUAUGGUGGAGGUUCCUCGGAAGAUCCUCAUGCUCAUAUGGAGAAGUUCAUCCGGAAUUGCAACACUUAUCGGGUGGUGAAUGUUUCUACAGAAGCAAUCCGGUUGAGCCUAUUUCCCUUCUCUUUGAAGGACGCAGCAGAGGAUUGGCUGAACUCACAACCUCAAGGAAGUCUCAUUACUUGGGAAGACCUUGCAGAAAAAUUCACAACGAGGUUCUUCCCAAGGUCCCUCUUGAGGAAAUUGAAAAAUGACAUCAUGACGUUCACACAAUCCUCAGAUGAAAAUCUUUACGAGGCUUGGGAGCAUUUCAAGAAGCUUUUGAGGAAAUGUCCUCAACACAAUCUCACCCAAGCCGAAUGUGUGGCGAAGUUCUAUGAUGGGUUACUAUAUUCAUCACGGUUUUGUUUGGAUGCGGCUUCAAGUGGGGAGUUCGAUGCUCUUCCCCCACAAGCGGGGUAUGAUUUGAUAGAGAAAAUGGCGAUGAGAGCCAUGAACUCCGAGAAUGAACGCCAAAUCCGAAGAAGCUCUUUUGAAGUGGAAUCUUAUGAUAAGCUCAUAGCCUCCAACAAGCAACUCUCCGAGGAAGUAGCGGAAAUGCAGAAACAUAUUCGGGAUGCCAAGUCAAUUGGAGCGAGAGUAACUAGUUUGGAGUGCAAAUUUUGUGGUGAAUCUCAUGAUAGUAACCAGUGUACUGUUAAUGAUGAUGUUGGCAAGGUCAGAACAUUGACUCAAGGAGGAAAAGCUCCAACCUCAGAACAAGGGCCUCUUGUCCAGCCGCAAAUUGUUGUAAAGACGGUUGGCAAGAGGAGUCUUGAGGAGCUGAUUGAGGGAUUCAUUGAUCAUACAUCGAGCAUUUACAAGAGCCAUGAUAUGGCUAUCAAGAGCUUGGAGAGUCAAUUGGGACAGCUAGCAAAGCAAAUGUCCGAGAAUCACCAAGGUAAGUUUUCUUCCGAAACUUUAACUUUGACUGAGCAAGAAAAUACUGCUGCUGUUUCCACUAGGAGUGGAAGAGUUUUACAUGAGCCAGAGGAAAAAAUUGAGGGAGAGAAAAGUGAGGAAGCUGAGGUAGAAAGAGAUAAGGGUGUUACGGAGGAAAGAGCUAGAGAGCCUACUAGGACUAGAGUUGUUAACACCCAUACUCCUGAACUCCGCAAGAUUCCAUUUCCCAAGGCUUUGGUGAAGAAAAAUUUGGAUAAACAAUUUUCUAAGUUCUUGGAAGUUUUUAAGAAACUCCAUAUUAAUAUUCCUUUCUCCGAAGCCUUGGAGCAAAUGCCAAUCUAUGCUAAGUUCAUGAAAGAUAUCCUCAGUAAGAGAAGGAAGUUGAGUGAGGUCGAUGAAACUAUCUUGAUGACCGAAGAGUGUAGUGCCAUUUUGCAAAGGAAGAUGCCUAAAAAGAGGAGAGAUCCCGGGAGUUUUACUAAUCCGGUGGAGAUAGAGGGGUUAACUGUGGUAGAAGCCUUGUGUGAUUUAGGAGCGAGUAUCAACUUGAUGCCGCUUAGUAUGUUUAAAAGGUUGAACUUAGGUGAGGUUACCCCAACUAUGAUUUCUUUGCAAAUGGCGGAUAGGUCCUUAAAAACCCCUUACGGGAUCAUUGAAGAUGUUGUGGUUAAGGUGGAUAAGUUUGUCUUCCCAGUGGAUUUUGUCAUUUUAGACAUGGAAGAGGACUCUAAAGUUCCUCUCAUAUUGGGGAGACCAUUCUUAGCCACUGGUGAGGCUGAGAUUAAAGUGGCUAAGGGAACUCUAACUUUGAAAGUAGGUGUAGAUGAGGUCCUCUUCAAUAUUUUUGACUCUUUAAAACACCGAGCGGAUGAGGAAGUUUUCCGAUGUGAAGUAGUGGAUGAGCUCGUGUGUGAAGAGUUUGUUAGGAUAUCUAUUAAGGACCCCUUGGAAACAACAAUCAUGGAGGGGUUAGAGAUAGAGGACCAAAAUCUUGAGAGGGAACUUGAUUCUUUGUAUCAUGAGGUGAAUGCUACUCUAUCUCAAUUAGAAUCUGUCUCAUACCUUGCCCACUAAAAGCAUUUGGAAAGAAGAGUUAACUAGGGAUGAGGAGAUUCCAAUUGAAGAGAAGAGUGAGCUCAAGCCACUCCCUUCCUCUCUCAAGUAUGCUUAUCUUGAGGAAGGUGGGAAUAAACCUGUUAUUUUGAAUAGUGCUCUCACUCCCUUGGAAUAGGAGAAACUCCUCAGAGUUUUGAGGGAUCACAAGUCAGCUUUGGGUUGGACUAUUGAUGAUAUCAAAGGCAUUAGCCCUGCGAUAUGCAUGCAUAAAAUUUUGUUGGAAGAAAAUUACAAACCUAUAGUCCAACCUCAAAGAAGACUUAACCCUUCCAUGAAGGAUGUGGUGAGGAAAGAGAUAAUCAAAUUGCUUGAUGCAGGUGUGAUUUAUCCCAUUUCGGAUAGUGAAUUGGUAAGUCCCGUUCAAGUGGUUCCCAAGAAAGGAGGCAUCACUGUGGUUGCCAAUGAGAACAAUGAGUUGAUUCCCACUCGUCAAGUGACGAAGUGGAGGGUUUGUAUUGACUAUCGAAGGCUGAAUUCGGUAACUAGAAAGGAUCACUUUCCUUUGCCCUUCAUAGAUCAAAUGCUGGAUAAGUUGGCUGGGCAUCAAUACUACUGUUUUCUUGAUGGCUAUUCCGGGUACAACCAAAUUUGUGUUGCACCGGAGGACCAAGAGAAGACGGCAUUCACUUGCCCUUACAGCGUGUUUGCUUAUAAGAGAAUGCCAUUUGGGUUUUGCAAUGCCCCAGCUACUUUCCAAAGGUGUAUGUUUGCUAUUUUCUCUGACUUGAUAGAGACUUGCAUCGAGAUUUUUAUGGACGACUUCUCUGUUUUAUGUCCGAAUUUUGAUGCUUGUCUAGGGAAUUUAGCCUUGGUUCUGAAAAGAUGUCAAGAGACCAACUUGGUCUUGAAUUGGGAGAAAUGCCAUUUCAUGGUUAGGGAUGGCAUAGUUCUCGGACACAAGGUGUCCGAAAAGGGGAUUGAGGUUGAUAGAGCUAAGAUUGAAGUCAUUGAAAAGCUCCCUCCCCCGACUAACAUCAAGGGUAUUAGGAGUUUCCUCGGGCAUGCUGGAUUUUAUAGGAGGUUUAUUAAAGACUUUUCCAAAUUAGCUAAGCCUAUGACCAACUUGCUUGAGAAGGAAGCACCUUUUACUUUUGAUGAGAAUUGUUUGAAAGCUUUUGAGUCUAUUAAAGAGAGUUUGGUGACAGCCCCGGUAAUUGUUGCUCCGGAUUGGUCUUUACCAUUUGAAAUCAUGUGUGAUGCUAGUGAUCUAGCUUUAGGGGCUGUCUUGUGUCAAAAGAAAGAAAGAGUGUUGUAUGUGAUAUACUAUGCAAGUAGAGUGUUAAAUGAGGCCCAAAGGAACUACACUACAACUGAAAAAGAGUUGUUGGGUGUAGUCUUUGCUUGUGAAAAGUUUAGGCCUUACAUCUUGGGUUUUAAAGUAAUUGUCCAUACUGAUCAUGCUGCUUUGAGGCAUUUGUUUGCUAAACAGGACUCUAAGCCAAGGUUGAUUCGAUGGGUCUUACUCCUUCAAGAGUUUGACCUUGAGAUCGUUGACCGGAGAGGCAAGGACAAUGGCGUGGCAGACCAUUUGUCAAGAUUGGAAGGUGGGGCGUGCAGCCCAAUACCUAUUCAAGAGGAGUUCCCGGAUGAGAAACUCCUAGCUGUUUCCACCGAGGAACCCUUACCCUGGUAUGUGCACUUUGCUAAUUUCCGUGUUGCUGGUCUUAUUCCCCAUGACUUGACAUGACAGCAAAAGAAAAAAUUUCUUCAUGAUGCAAAAUCUUACCUCUGGGAUGACCCUUUCCUUUUCAAAGUUUGUUCUGAUGGAGUCAUUAGAAGGUGUGUCCCAGAGGUUGAUUUUGAGAAAAUUCUUUGGCAUUGCCAUGGAUCAAGUUAUGGUGGACAUUUUAGUGGGGAGAGGACCGCUGCUAAGGUUCUCUAAAGUGGUUUCUAUUGGCCUACACUGCAUAGGGAUAGUAGAGCUUUUGUUGAGAGUUGUGAUAGAUGUCAACGAGCUGGUAACAUCUCAAGGAGAAAUGAGAUGACCCUCAAGAAUAUUUUGGAAAUUGAGUUGUUUGAUGUUUGGGGCAUCGAUUUCAUGGGACCUUUCCCACCUUCUUUUGGUUGCCAGUAUAUUUUAGUGGCUGUGGAUUAUGUUUCCAAGUGGGUUGAAGCCGCUGCACUCUCAACAAAUGACUCUAAGGUGGUGGUUGCUUUUCUAAAAAAGAAUAUCUUUACUAGGUUUGGUGUUCCUAGGGCAAUUAUAAGUGAUGGGGGUACCCACUUUUGCAACAGAGCUUUCGAGUCUCUCUUGGAAAAAUAUGGUGUUAAGCACAAAGUGUCUACCCCCUAUCACCCCCAAACUAGUGGGCAAGUUGAGAUUUCUAAUCGGGAGUUAAAACGUAUUCUUGAAAAGGUGGUAGAUUCUUCCAGAAAGGAUUGGUCAAGGAAACUUGACGAUGCUUUAUGGGCCUACCGAACCGCUUUUAAAACUCCGAUUGAUACCUCUCCUUUCCAUUUAGUUUUUGGGAAAGCGUGUCACUUACCUGUGGAGUUAGAACACAAGGCCAAUUGGGCCAUAAGGAAAUUGAAUUUUGAUUGGAAAGUUGCUAGCGAGAAGAGACUCUUGCAAUUGAAUGACCUUGAUGAGUUCCGACUCCGAGCUUACGAGAGUGCUAGCAUCUAUAAGGAAAAGACAAAGAAGUGGCACGAUAGGAAAAUUUUGAAUAGGGAAUUUGUCUCAGAGCAAUUGGUGCUGCUCUUCAAUUCUAGAUUGAGACUCUUCCCUGGGAAACUUAAGUCUAAAUGGUCUGGACCCUUUGUGGUCAAGAGGGUGUUUCCUCAUGGUGCUGUUGAGGUUGAGAACCCAGAGACCAAGAACACUUUCACCGUGAAUGGACAGAGGUUGAAAGUGUACCAUGGUGGUGAGGUGCUGAAGUUGGAAACCAUGUUUUUCAAACCUCCUUGACAAGGGGGAUAGUCUACCUAAGACUAUAACAAUGGGCUGCUUGGGAGACAACCCAAGUUUUGUUAUUUUGCUUGUUUGUUUGUUGCAUUUUGCAGGGAUUGGGAGCCUAAAUUCUAGAGUAGGAGGUGACUCUAAGGCCUCCAUGGUAAUUGGUAAAGAAGGUCAACUCUUUCCCUUAGUUUAGCUCAUGCAUCUUUGCAUAUCUUCCUUUUGUAGCUGUUAUUUUUCUUUUAAUCAUGCAUUGUUUUGUUAGAGUCGUUUUUUGGUCUUUUUCUCCCUAUACUCACAUGUUUUUGCCCGUAGUUAUGCUCUCUAACCUGUUGCUAGUUUUGAAAUUGUUUUUGGUGAAUACUUGUGCUGUCUUUUGGGGAUGAGAGAUUGCAUGCUUGGGGAAGAGAGGAGGAGACUUCGGUCUUCCGAGUGUUUCUUGAGAAAGGAGUCGAGGUGAGUCCAUUCAGGGUCUAUCUGUGACCCUUCACCAUAAAAUUUCCCUGGAGGAUCCUGACUCACUCGCACUUCUUGGCUCUGCAUUAAUUUCACUCAUAGCAUGCUUAGUGAUUCUUGCUUUAUUCUUGAGACUUGUAGGAUUUCUUGAGAUUCUGAAUUUGUUGUUUGAACAUUGUCCUUAGUUGUCCCAUUUGAGCCUUAUUGGAGAAUUUGUUGUAGCCAAGUGAUUGGGGUGGAUGUUUGGUUGGAAUAUUGGGGAGUGAUGGUCCUUGAUUAUAUUUGUAUGGAGCUGAAAAAUUGUGAAAUAGUCUCUUGCCCCAAGGAAAAAGAAUAAAUCAGUAAGAAAAAAAAGAAAGAAAAAGAACUCCUAACCAAAAGUUGGAGUUGGAAAAAAGGAAAAAGUUUGAAAAGGUGGGAGCAAGAGACUUGUAAAAAAGGUGUGUUGUAAGCUCCGGGGUUAUUAGGAGAGGACCACACUCAAUGUGCUUGAAAGCCUAGUUUUCCCUUAGGGACCAACCACCAUCAUGUUUUACCUAGCCAAUGUGUCAACCCUUUUUGAAGUCUCUUUGAAUAUUUGCAUGAUUGAUCUUUGUUGCUAUUGAGUGAAUGACAUUCAGGACCUAUGAACUUGUUUGUGUGCUCAGUACACUAAAUGAACAUCUCAUCCUAGGAUUUUUAGAUCUAUAUGUUUCUCAUGAAUGGACUCUACACUCUUCUCUUUUCAAAAGAUGCAUGAAGUAGGUUGUUGGGUCUUUCUCUUGGAACUAGCUGUGAUUACUUUGUCCCCUUGUUUUUGUGAAGUAUUCCUUGUUGAGAGCACUUGUUUGGGAGCAUUUCUUGCGCUUGAGGGCAAGCGAGUGUUAUUUACGCUCGAUGACGAGCUGUCGUUGAGUAUAGUGGUGUGAUGACCCUAUUUUAGUAGUGUUUUUAAGGUCAUUUCUUUGUGUGUUCUGGGUCUUUUUGUUGAGUCUCAUGUAGUGUUUCAUGCAUUCUCAUGCAUUUUUAUCUUUUCUUUAGUCUUUAUUUUGCUUUGGUAAUUUAGUAGUUUUAUAGGGAGUUUUUUUGCAUUUUGAGCAGAGUUUAAGGCUUGCAUGGUUUUAUUGUGUUAAUUGAAGGAUCUCUUGUGCUAAUAAGCUCUUUGAGCUUCUAGAAUUUUCCUUGGCUUGUUGGUUAAGUUUCAGAUCAGGAACUGAAGAAGGAAGAAGGCCAAUAAGCAUGGAAUUGAUGGA
rnacentral:lncRNA from 1 species